rnacentral:lncRNA from 1 species
AAUUAAAAACAAGGAAGAAAAUAAUUGGACGGAUAAGGAAGGAGAGGGAAUAUGUAGCUGCAGGCAAGUCAAGCGUGGGAUUUUUCAGUUACUCUGACCCUUCCUUCUCUCAAUAACGCUCAGAAAAUCAAUUGUACACCAUUAGUCCUCUCAUUCUUCAGUUCAUCUUAAACCGUAUCUUAUUAUCUUAAACCUUCAGUAAAACUCAGAAAACACAGAGAGGAAGAGAGAGUAAAAUGGGUUUCUGUGAAAUUUGAAAGGAAAGCUUCGGGAGAACUCAAGGAAUGAAAAGGGGGGAUUUUAGCAAGUUUAUCUAGCAGUUAAGGGAAUCUAAGAGGUAAGAAAGGAACUCUGAAAUUCAUAAUUUCUAUUUCGUAAGUAUUGCACUGUUAGAAAUUGUUUUGGUCUGUCUAGAAAGUUAUUAUGGUUGUGAUUUUAGUUUAAAAUCUUGAUUUGAUAGUAGUACGAAAAAUUUUCGAAUUUGAAUGAAUCAAAAUGGACUUAAAACGAAUCCUUGGAAGAUUAAGUAAAACAUGUAAAAAUAUGAAAAUAUGAUAAUCUAGCAUUGUGACAACCUGAAAAAUUAUAAGAUCUUGAACGAUUAAAUUAAAGGUUGUCUAAAACCUAGAGUGAAAAUAGAGAAUUUAUUAAAAUUUUAAAGAAGAACCUAAAUGGUUUACUAUGUGAAAGACAAUUGAGAAAAUAUGGAUUACAAAAUUCAAAAUCCUGGAAUGGAAUUAUAAGUAUUAUGUUACCUUUAACUUUAUAUGAAUUAAUGAAAGAGAUUAUGAAAUGAUAUAUAUGGAAAAGGUUUAAAACGGGAAUACAGUUUAAUACAGUUUCAAUUCAACUUGCUGAAUUAGUGAAUUUAUCUUUGCUGAAUUGGAAUUCGGUUUACUGAAUUAGUAUACACUUUGAAUCCAGGUUGCUGGAUUGGAGGUCAGUUUGAAUCCAGUUUGCUGAAUUGGAAAAACAGUUUACUGAAUUGAAAUUCAGUUUGAAUCUAGGUUGCUGGAUUAGUUAUGUCAGUUUCGUUGUGUUGGGAAACAACAAGUUGUUUGAAUAAUCUAGGAUGUUGGAUUAGGUAUUCGGCUUACUUGAUUAUAUAUAAGAACUUAUGAGAUGAUAGGUUAAGUGUUAGAUCAUAAUGUGUACAAUAAAGAGAAAUAAUAAGGAUAAAGAGGAUGAGUGUAUAUAUAUAUAUAUAUAUAUAUAUAUAUAUAUAUAUAUAUAUAUAUAUAUAAGCAUAUAUAUACAUAUACUUAAAAAUGUUAAUUAAAUUGAUCAUACAAGAUUAAUGGAAAGCUUAAUUAAUCAAGCUUAUAGAAGCUAAGCAUGAAUGGUAGUGUAAGAGAACUUAAAAAUAUUAAAUUGGGAAGAGAUAAGUUAGGUGUUGUGGUGAUAAUUAAAAUAAACAUAACCUAGUGGGAAAGUAUUAUAAAUUUAAUAAAAAGUCCCAGAAAAGGAUUAAAAUUAUGACAAGACAGACUUAUAUUUAUGCCAAGCCUAAUAUAUGAAAAUAUUAAUUAUUUACCAACGAAGUGAAUAAUUGUGACUUAUGUGAGGUAUGUAUGUGAUUAAAUAAAUAUAUAUUGUAAAUCUGCAUAUAUUUAUUUAUAAUUAUUUAGAGAGGAUUGAAAAGAAAACUAUUUAGCCUAAUAUUAUAUAUUAGGAAUGAGAAUUAAAUAAUUUAAUGGUUAUAGUAAUUGAAGAAUGCUAAUAUUUAAAUUAUGUACUAGUAAAUCAAUGAAAUGAAUAAUAAUCAAUAGAUGAUUAGUUGAUAUGAUUAAUAAUAUAAAGAGAAGUAAGUUAAAACUCAAAAUUUGAGUUAGGGAAAUAAUUUUGAAGCACGAACUGCUCGGUUGCGUCCAGAACGUCAAAAAUAGUCAGAAAAGGUGGUAAACACAAAAUGUGUCAAGGUUGACUUUUUGGUCAAAGUCAAUAGUUGACUUUUUAGGGAGAAAAAUCCAAAUUGGAGAUAGAAGUGGAAUUUGAACACGCGGACAAGAUAAUUGAGUCUGUAACGUCAAAAUUAGUAAGAAUAGACUCUAAACACGAAAUGUGUCGGGGUUGACUUUUUGGUCAAGGUCAACAGUUGAAUUUUUUGAAGAAAAGUCAAACUUGAAAUUUGGAGAUGAAUUUAAAGAAAAGGAGGUGCCCAUGACGUUGGGAGUAUUGAAUUUAGUAGGAAUCGACUAUAAACUCAAAAAUUUGAGUUUUCCGGUUCGAAAGUUAAAACGAAAUUAAAUACGCAAAACGAGUAAAUAAAAGCGGGGCACACAACAUAAAAUCUGCUGAGAUUUUUAUCUAUGUGUUGUCCACCUAACCCACCCACUCCCAACCACUCCCAUUAAUGCUCACCAAUUCCUUCUCUCUCUCCUAAAUUAUUUAGUUAAAGGAAAGAAAGAGAAUGAAGUUAAAACAACUGUCUCUCUCUCUCUCUCUCAUUUAUUCACUUCAUGCCCGAACCAAUAGAGAGGAAGAGAGAGAAAGUGGCUGCCAUGAAAGAGAAGAAAAGAGAGAAAGAUGGGAGGAGAAUAAGAAAAAGAAAUUAAGAGGAGAAGAUAUCAAAAGGUAUAAACCUUAAACUUUGUUUAAUUUAUUUUGGUGGAUUAUGAUGAAAUAAAGAUAUUGUAAGACCCCAGCUUUUUAUAAAUAAAAAAAAUCGAAUUUCCUCUAUUUAUUAUUGUAAAUAAUAAGGUGUUAAUUUGAUAUAAUACUUUGGUUAUGGGUGAAAUGCGCAAAUUUUGCAAAAUAAGUAUAAAAUAUUCAUUGUUGUCGGGGAAUAUUCGUUUGGUCGUGGAAUAUUCUUGCUGUCGAGAAAUAUUCGUACGACGGCGCAACCAUUUGUGGGCCCCAUAACGGAAAUCUGUCGGAUGAAGAAAACGACAAGUUUGAGUUUUUAUAAAUAACGGCGUAAUGGUUACCGUCAACACUGUUGGAAUACCCGGUGGUUAAAAUACAGUAAUACGUGUGGUUGCAUAGUAGCACACGGUAUUGCACAGUAUUUUUGAAUUAUUGAUUCUUACGUAAGAAGGCACUACUCAAUAAUUGUUAAAGUAAUUAUUGUUCAAUAUUUUAUUUUAUUGAUUCAAUAAUUGCUACGUUGAUAUUUUAUAUUAUUCUUGUUUCAAUAAUUGUCACUGCACAGUAUCUCCAUCAUCAGAUGAAUAAUUCAUAUUAUUUGAAUAAUAUUGUUAGAUAGCAUUAUUGGCAAUAUCUAAGGAAGUUCUGUCUAGGAAAGGGGUUUGGUCACCUAAUUACGUGCCAAUAAGGAGAAAUCCUUAUCGGAAAGCCCCCUCUUUUUUGGGAACGACCUGGUUGUCAUUAUUGUGAUUCUGUAAUAUUUUUUGUGAAUAAUUAAUUAUUGACUUAUAUGAUAAGGAAAUAUUUAUUUUUAUGUGGAUAUAAAUAAUGGAUAUUUAUUUUAUGUGGAUAUAAAUGAAGGAAUAAAUGCUGAGGUAUUUUAUCAGUAUUUUGUCAGAAUAGAGGUGUUGAAAAUCGUCCGUAUGUGAAUUUCGGUCAUUUUUCGUUUGGAAUUUGGAAAAACUUAAACUUACAAAGUUGUAGAGAAACUAGCACUAAUUUUUAUGCUCAAAGCUUUCUUAAACUCUAAAAAAAUACGCUCAAGAUUAUAGAAGGAGAAUUCUCUAAACUUCAAGUGUGAUUUUCAAUUCUAACUAAGCAUCCUAUUUAUAGAAGAAUAGAAAGGAUACUAUGCUGCACUAUGCAAUAAAAUAUAAUAUAUUCUAUUUAUAAUCAAAUAAAACAAAACUUUAUAAAAAGUAUUCUGUUUUAUAUAAAAAGUUUUUACCAUGCAAACACUAUGCAACACUAUGCAUAAUAAAAUAUAAUAUAUUCUAUUUAUANNNNNNNNNNNNNNNNNNNNNNNNNNNNNNNNNNNNNNNNNNNNNNNNNNNNNNNNNNNNNNNNNNNNNNNNNNNNNNNNNNNNNNNNNNNNNNNNNNNNNNNNNNNNNNACAAUAAUUGAAUCAAAUAACGUGAGAUACUAUGCAGCAAUUACUGUACCAAUAAUUGAACAAAACUGAGUGACUUAUCACGUAAGCAUCAAUAAUCAAUACCGUGUGCUACUAUGCAACCACACGUAUUACUGUACUUUUAACACCGGGUGUUUCAACAGUUAACGGUAAAACUUCCACCGUUCAUAAAGUAUUUUUGUCAUUUUUUCAAUCCGACAAUAAUUCCAUUGUGGGGUCCACCAAUGAUUGUGCCGUUGUACGAAUAUUUCCUGUUAAAACGAAUAUUCCCCGACCAAUCGAAUAUUAUAUAACAACUUACGUACUUUAAAAAAUUUAUAAAUAUUACCCACAACUAUAAUAUUAUAUCAAAUUCAUUCCAUAAUAUUCAAAAAUGAUAUUUAUAGAAAAUUCAUCUUUAUUUAUAAAAGUUGGGGUCUUACAUCUCUCUUGUUCUUGCUAUUUCUCCCGCCUUCUCUCUCUUGUUCUUCCUCUUUCUUUCUCUAAUUAAAAAAUCAUAAUAGGUGAAAUGAAAUGGAUGAUACUUAGGUUUUUGUUUAUAUAAAACCCAGUUUCAAUUUCUUAUAAGUUGGUCAUCCAAUUUAAGUCUUCUCUAGUCUUUCCCCUCGUCUUUAAAAGCUUGCAAAUCACCUCCUAACAUAUUCUUAGCAUAUUCUCGAAAUAUUCUUUAUUCAUUAACAUAUUCCUUAAGAUAUUUUCUUAAGUUUCAAAUAUUAUGUUUUCACCACCAAGGUGUUCCAACUUUUCAUUAUUGUCCAUUAACUUUCUAGUUCACUUCCAUACUUCAUUAAGUUAGCAAAAUUUCGCUUUUGCCUUCUCCUAAUUCAUUAAGCUAGCAAAAAGUCUGUUUUGCCCUUUCGUACAAUUAACUAGGGUUCAAUUUUCGAGUUAUAUCGGUCACCCGAUUUCUUUAUAGUUAGAUUUUCCUAACUCGUUCAACAUACAAAAACCUCAAAACUUCUUUCGUUGAUUUUUAUUACAUCUGCCAUCCUCAAAUAAUAACUACGACGUAAAUUUGAAAUUCUCAAAAAAUUUACUUUCUCUAAAUAUCUCCAUACUCUCAUACAUCAUUACUUAACACCAAACUAGGCCAUUAAUCGACCUAAAUAACAUUAAUAGUAAUAAUAUCAAUAAAAUUUAUUUAUUUAUUAGAUAUUAUCCUCGUAAAAUCUAAUUUCAAGGCUAUCCGAAAUCUCGGGUUAUCACAUGUUCCCCCAUUGCAGGGUUGGUUCGCCUCGGACUUGGUACACAUUUUCGCACCAAAAUAAUUUUGUUUGGCAUAAUUUCUCAAAGAUCGCUUGAAUUUCAUAAACAUUUUUCAGCAAUCGUCUAGUCGAAUCAAAUAGAUUUGACAUACAUCAAUAGUUCAGACAUCAAUCGAAACAUUUUAGCCAACUCACUGGCAUAAUUUUUCAUAGUUUAAAGAAAAUCAAAAAUCAUUUUAUGACGUCAUGAUACCGUACCAUUUUGACAGUACGUUGAGGAUUUCAUCAUUUUAUGACUUUGUCAUACUACAAAAUACCAUAGUGGGCUAACGGUCUUAUGAUCACAUCCAACACCAGGUUCGAUUGCAUUAAUGAAUCCAUCAUUUAUCAUUCUACACCAUGUUGAAUGAUGCAGAUGAUUAUAUAGAAUACAUUUUGAUAAUUUCAAAUCAUUUUCAUCUAGCCAAAAUAAUUAGCAUAUACAUAUGAAUAAUAGGACUUUUAACACUUAUUGGUUUAAUACUCUAAUCCAAUAUUUUUCAAAAACAUAACUAUCAGCAUGAUGUCAAUAAAUUUCGAAAUCUAGAAUAACUAGAGGAUUUGAAAUAUCCAUUUUACCUUCAACAACUUUGACUUUUAUCCAUCGGCCCAUUAUCUAAUAAUUCUAUCUAUUUCUAGCAGCAUUAAUGCUCACUAUACUAAAAAUUCUUACAUCUCAACUUACAACCUUCAUAUACCCCAGUAUAAUUCAUCAAACUUACCACACGUUAUGAGUUUAUGAUUGCUACAAUAAUAUAAGUUUAGGAACUUGUCCUAGCAAUAUGCAGUCCAAGAACAAAUUAGGGACUCUGUCCAUACACUUAGGGGCUCAAAAACAUAUCAUAUGAUCAUGAGUCACAAACCAUAAACAUGAGAUUCAAGAACUCGCACGUAAUCUUAAUAUUCUCUAACUAUCAGAUAUAAAUAUAUAUGAGAAAAGAAUCACAUUCUCACCAUAAAUAUACUGAUAGCGGAAUACUAAGAUUUCAAUGAUUAUCAAUGUAAUAGACUAAGUGGUCGUUAAACCAACCACAAAAUCCAUUCCCAUAUAAAGAUUUGCAUGAUUCCUCAAUUGAAAUUCCCCAAAAAACAAGUUUUUUCUUUCCUUUAUGCGAAUUUUCUUUAAUUUGUCUCUCAUCAUCUACAACUCUUUCUGAGUUUUCUCGUUCUAUCUCAUAGUACAUUCUCUUAAUAGCGUCAGGUUAUAACUGUUCAAUCAUUUAACAUAUUAUCUGUCAUUUCACAAUUCCAUCUGAUCACGUCGUGAUCUUAUUUUACAAUCGUUUUGCAUUACAAUCUUCCUUAGUCUACGAUCUUCUCACUUUUCCAUUCAAUCAUGUUAUAUUAUGAUUUCAUUUAAGCUUCUUAACUUAUAUUUAUCAUUAUAUCUUUGAAUUUCUAUAAUUCAAUUCAGGUGUUCCCUGAUCCUCUUCAUUUUACUUUAUUAUAGCUCUUCCAGAUUCUUCUUUGAAUCUUCUUAUAUAUAUCUUAAUCAUUUUCUUUAUAAAUCUUCUAAAUUUAUUUCUUAUUGUUCAAAGUAUGUCCGAGUUUAUUCUUUAUCAGAUGACUUAAACUCUAUCUCAGUUUAUUUUUGUACUAUCUCCGUCCAUUUCACUCUGGUUAUAUCCUAAGGUACCUCUUCUUAAGGUUUAUAAUAUACAACUCUGAUACCAACUGUAACGCCCCUAAAAUCAUGAUAAAUUUCAUUCAUGAUCUUGUGCGUUAAAAUACAAUCACGAUCUAACAUCUUUACAUUAUUAAUCGAUGUUAUAAUCAAUAAAAAAAAUGCGAAUAAAUUUAAUUUUAUUACUUUCUUUUAUAUCCUAAAUUUUUAUCACAAUUUAACUUUAUUUUUGUUGUACAUAAUAGUCUUUGUCCAUAUAGAUAUUAAAACUUAGUUAUUGCAAUGUUUACUCAAUUGCAGAAUUCGCAACCUUUAACACAUGUACAAAUAUUCAGAGUCGUAUGUAUUCCAUAAUAUGAUUUGUGAUAUCCCGAAUAUAUAUUAGUAAUAUUUCUUUUAAGGGAAAUAUUAAAAGAUUAAAUAAAGUCUAGAGAUUUAACCUAAUUAUUAAUAAAAAAAAAUGUGAAAAGAGUGGAUUAAUUUUUUUAUUUUAUCUAUGUGCUAUAAAGAGCCCAUAGGAUAUAAAAUUAUUGGGAAUAGAGACUUUUAAGAUAAAAGACUCUAAUUAAGAAUGUAUGAGACAUUAUAAAUAUUACUUAUUCAUAAUGAAAAUAAAGUAAUAUGUGGAGUUAAAUAAAUUUUGUGAGAUGUAGUAAGUAAAUGUAUUAUUAAAUGUAUACAUUUAUUAUUCAAAAUGAAAAGAGAAGCCAAUAAGGCCUAAUUGGGAAAUAUUCUUGACAUAAACCUACCUAUGAGAUUAAUAAAAUAAUUAUAUUAUGAUAUAAUUAAUUUCAUUCAAAAGAGUGUAUGUAGUAACAAAUACGGAAGAUGGUUUGCACUACCAUAAGUUAUUUAACUACAUGAAACCAUCAUUUUUAACGAUGUAUAUGCUAAUUAUUUUGCUAGCUUAAAUAAAUGUGAUGCAUAAAUAUUUAUAUGUAUUAGUGACCACAUUUAACUAUUGGGCCAUAUUAAAUUGGUAUUUAGUAUUCUUGCAAGCUGCUACAUUAAUCUUAGGGGCAAAGGUCUAAAAAUACCCGACCUUGAUGUUUACCCCGAUGUCCCACUUACACCCUGAACCUUUUUUUUUCAAAAGUACACUUGACGUUGUAAAACGUAACUCAAUUAUGCCCCUCCCGUUAAAAAAAUUUCAGCUAGACAAACGGGCGUUGGUGGCGACCGACACGUGGCAAACGGGCGUUAUUUUCUCUUUCUUCUCCAACUUUUCUCUCUUUCUUUCUUUCUCNNNNNNNNNNNNNNNNNNNNNNNNNNNNNNNNNNNNNNNNNNNNNNNNNNNNNNNNNNNNNNNNNNNNNNNNNNNNNNNNNNNNNNNNNNNNNNNNNNNNCGGACGUCAGGGACAACCGACACAUGGAAAAAAUAAAAUGUAAUAAUCUUUUUUUUAUUAUUUUCUCUUUCUUCUCUAACGUUUCUCUCUCUCUCUUUCUUUCUCCCCCCUCCCUUUUUAUUUUCUCUCUCUAUUUUCUUCUUCUUCUGUUACAAAAAUAACAAAACUAAAAUGCAUUAAUCAUAACAAUCAGCACAUACCCAUUACAGAAACAACUCAGCAACAGCUCAUAGAAGUCGAGAAAAUCCCAAAAAAUUGGAUUUUUAAGGAAAAACAAAACGUGAUUCACAAUCAAAUGAAACCACAAGAUAAUCUUUUGCAAACAUUAUAGUUAAAGAAUUUAUACACACUAAUAAUCACAUAAUCCUCAUAAAGCAAAAUUGCUAUUACAUUAAACUAGUUGCAUUUACAGAUUCCAAAAGCAAGCAAUAGAUUACCCAGAAAAAGAAGGAAGAAGUGGAAUACAACAUGGUUGUUGAAAAAACAAGAAAUUUCUCGCAGAGAAAGGGAGAAGGAAAAAGGGCAUUGAUUAUUCACGUAACAAAAAAAGAAAUAGAAUUCAAUUGCGUAUUCCCCAAGAUUCCUUUUCCGUUUCCUACAUUUUUCGCAUCAACCAAAUCGACAGUAAAGAAGCAACUAAAUAAACAAAUAAAAGAAAAUUAAUCCCUUUUGAUUACCUGAUUAGACAAUGCAGAUGUGGAAGCAAUCUUUCAUGACUAUUCAGAAGAGCCGAAAGAUGGAAUUUCAGCCCCAAUACCCACUCGAAGAAAGUGAAAGUAAUUUUGGUUUAAGCCUAACUUUUUUUCCUCUCCGUUUUUUUCUGGGUUUUUUCCAGAUCCGAUCAAAAAAAGAUGGAGUUUUGAUAUUUGAGUUAUAAUUCCUUUUGAUUGAUUUGUCUGUAGGGAAUUCGUCGAUUAAUGGGUGGAAAAAGAGGGAACAGAGGAAGAAGAAAGGAGAAAGAGAAAAAAGGUAGAAGAAAUAGAGAGAGAAAAGUUGGAGAAGAAAGAAAAAAUAAUAAAAAAAGAUUAUUAAAUUUUAUUUUUGCCACGUGUCAGUCGCCACUAAUGCUCAUUUGUCCAGCUAAAAUUUUUUUAACGGGAGGGGCAUUGUUGAGCUAUGUUUUACAACGUUAAGUGUACUUUUGGGAAAAAAAAGUUUAGGGUGUAAAUGGGACAUCGGGGUAAACAUCAAGGGUAUUUUUGGACCUUUUCCUUUAAUCUUAGUGUUAAUAAUUUUCUUGCUAUACCAGAAGAGCGUAAUAAGUCCAAGGAGUUAAUUAGUCCUAACUUGGUAUCUAACCCAAUUCGAUAGCCUCAUUGAUGGAACUGUUUAGUAGUUUGUUAGCUUGCAAGCCUUAAAAUUUCUUAAGUGCUAUAAGUUAUUUCAUUGAGCCUAAAACAAAACCAUUAUCAAUCCUUUUUCUUUGAGCAGUCCGGUAAUCCACAUGGGAAGAAUGAAGAAUUAAGUCUUGGUAAAUAACCAAGUUAACAAUUAGUUCAUUUAGCAAAUUGGUUAUCAAUUAAGUUGGGAAGCUAGCAAGGAUAGCUGGCAGUAGAGUGGCUGGGAUAAGGCUAAAAAUUAGGGGCCAAGUAGACUGUAGAGUAGUAGGAGACUGCUAAGCCUUGUAGGGGUUGUGUAGUGGUAAUGAUGAAGGCUAAUGUAGGGGACGGAUAGGAGCUAAAGAGAGCAGCCAGGUAGAGAUAAUGAUGGAGAGCAGCAAUAUGCCAAGUAGGUUGAUUGAGAGAGAGAGAAAGCUCAGCCAUAUAUGACCAUACAAUGCACCUGAAAUCAGAUAACUUCUUUACUUAUCCAAGUUCCAAAAGCAAUAUCAAUACCAGUCCAUUAGAUUGAGAGAGUAGCAAAGCUACGACUGGAAGGGAAGGAAGGAUUGAGCAUCAAAGCUACUUUAAUAUCUAGAAGUUAGCAAGUUAAGCAAUCUUAGAGUCUUUCCAUUCCUUUUCCAUUUCAUAUUUGAUAGUAGAAUGGGUUUUUAGUGGUUAUAGUAUUAAAUAAGACUAUGGUGGUUGUUAUGAUAAUAUUAGAGCUUUGUGUGGUUGUUGAGGCAUUAUACGGAGACCCUUAAUAAAUCAAAAGCCAAAAGACUGGGGAAAAUAGAAAGGAAAUUUGUGGAUACAUGUAAAUAAAAUCAUGUUCACCAACUGUUUGAUUAAAUGUCGAAGUAGGGGUUGUUAUAGUUUAAAAAUAUGCUAGCUAUGAAUUAGAGUCCAAAUCAUGUUUACACGCUCAUAUAUUGAUAUGAAUGCCUCAAACAUCAUAUGCUUCUUUAUUAUUCCAUUCUUUAUUAUUCUGUCGGAAUCUCCCGUCUGUGCGUUUACGCCGGACCUGGUUCCAUUAUUUGUUAUUAUAUUGGAAUAACCUGUUUAUGCGAAGUACUGCAUACAUGGUGAAAUUCUUCUGUUAUUCCAUUCUUUAUUAUUCUGUUGAAACAUCCUGUCUAUGCUUUACGCAUGACCUGGUUCCAUUAUUUAUUAUUCUGUUGGAAUAACCUGUCUGUGCGGUCUAUCGCAUGCCUGGUGAAUUCUUCUGUUAUUUCAUUAUUUAUUAUUCUGUUGGAAUAUCCUGUCUGUGCGUUUACGCAUGACCUGGUUCCAUUCUUUAUUAUUCUGUUGAAAUAACUUGUCUAUGUGGAUUACCGCAUGCAUUAUAAAUGAUCCUUCGUAUUCAUACGAAUAGUAUUUUCAUUAAAAAGGGGUUUCUGUCAGGGGCAGUUUCGUAAUUUUUCUGACCCUCAAAAAUUCUGGAAAAAUUUGAAAUGAUAAUUUGAUGAGUUUUCUAGAUUGUGUCCAAAAAUGACGAUUUUUGGGAUGUAUAGAUUAAGAGUUAUGGAUUUUAUGGGAAAAGACUAUUUUAAAAGUAAACCCUUAUAAAGCCUUGUGGUUAACUUCAAAAUUGGUAAAAUUUUUAUUGGGAGUACAUGUAUAUAACAGAAGUAUAACCCUGUAAAUUUCGGAAUUUUUAGACAAACGUACAAUUUAUGAUAAAUGUCUAAAUAUUCGGCAGUUUUAGCCAUAUGAAAAAUAGUAAAUGAAUUUUAAAAAUUCUGAGAAAAAUAUAUGUUCAAUAUGGGACUAUAUUCUGCUAAAUCCCAGAAAAGAAAUAUUUUUGGGACUGAUUUGGUAUUUUUCAUGAAAAUGAACUAGUUAUGAGUAAAUGAAUUAAAUAUGUUAUGUGAAGUAAUAAAAUUGGAAAAUAGGAUUUUAUGGCUUGAGAAUCCUAUAUAGGGUAUAUGCAGAUUUUUGAUGAGGGAUUUGAUCAUUGAUGAUGAAAUCUUAUGAGUAUGGCAUUUUUGAAUGAUUAAAUGCAUUAUUUGAUAAAGUGUAAACAAUUGAAAUAAAUUGUUUAUAAGUUUAAGAAAUGAUUAAAAUAUUGUUAUAAUAUUAAUGAUAUUAGAUUAUGAGAUUAUUAAGUGAUUGAUAACAUUUGGUUAUUAUUGAACGCUGGAUAAAUUGUAUUAUAAAUGUUUAAUAUUUAUCAUUUAUCUCAUUUGAUUAAUUCUUAUAUCAUUGUCAUCAUCCUCAUGCUUAUAUUAUAUUGAAAGUUAUCUUUGGUCGUAGUGCAUAGAUGGACUUGGUAUGAUUAUGACCAGGGAUUAUUCGGUAUAAUCAUGACCGUAAUGUUACAAAUGAUGUGGAAAAAGUCCUCAUUGGCCCGUAGUGCAUUGAUGAACAGUUUUUGGUAUGAUUAUGGUUAUGGAUUCUCUUCGGCCAAGGGUGCAAAGAUGAAUUGUUUUAUGGCAUGAUCUUGACCGUUGAUGAAAAUACGAUUAUCUUUUGCCGUAGUGCAUGGAUAAUUCGUGGUCGUGAUAUUAACGAAUAUCCUUAGCCGUAGUGCAUGGAUAAUUCAGUAAUAUGGAUUGAUUAUCGAGCUGAGUCUCAGCGAUGAAAUAUAAAUUCAUAGAUGUGAUAUUAACGAAUAUCCUUGGCCGUAGUGUAGGGGUGAUUCGAUGAUGGGGAUUAUUUAUUAAGCUGAGUCUCAGCGAUAAAAUAUUUAUUAUACACUUUUAAUUCGUAGAAGAUAGUAGAUAUCAUGCUCUACUUGACUCUUCUAAAAUACAGUUGUAUGUCUUUGGCAUGUAGUGCAAAAAUGAAUUGUUAAUUAAAAUCUUUGGCCGUAGUGCAAAGAUGAAUUUAUUAGUAUGAUUAUGAGCAGGAAUUCUGAUUUGGUAUAACCAUGAUUUUUGAUGUUUCAGGUGAAGAUAGGUGAUGAAAAUUAUCUUCGUCCUGGUUGCGAAGAGGAAUUUAGAACCACAAUUAUGAUUAUGAGUUAUUCAUAUGAUUGUGGACAGGAACUGUUGAUUUAUUUUACAUGGAUAAAACAUUAUUGGUGGACUUUUAACAUAGAGAAGAUAAUAGACCUUAUGGUCUAUUUGACUCUUCUAAUGGAUUGCUCGUUCCGCUGCAACUAUGGUUGAAAAGUUUUAUCAUCUACCAUAUGUUCUAAAUCUCUGAUUUAUUAUUGAUGAAAGCUAUUGAUAAUUUAAUUAUCUUUAGUCAUGAUAUUCUUUACUGGGCUAGUUGUGCUCACCCUUUCUGCUUCACAAUUCCUUUCAGGUAAUAAGAGUGUUGCCGUAAGAGUGUUGCCGGGUCGAGCGGGGAUAACAGGGGAAUAGAACAGUGGUCUCUAGCUGUGGAGGUUCUCCCUAAACAGUAUAGAAAAGUGUGUUGUAUUCUAUACAUCAUUUAGUAGUUAUAUUUGGUGAAUCAAAUAGGGUGAGGCGAACCCAACUUUGGAAGGGUGUUUUGCCACUAUCAUACAAGAUGUCUAAUGACAUACAACCUCGUGUUAUCAUAAGACAGGGUUGUGCACAUCCACUUGCUGAGUAUAUCUACGAGCACUACCUAUAUGAUCUUGGAGUUUAUUUGAAAUAUAAUUUUCACUUGGAGACAGUGGAGAUAGUUAUAUGUCAAGAGAAGACUCACCAUUGGAAAGAAGAUGAUAGUAAUCUUCUCGUUUUUCUUUGGGGUCUAUUGGGUCAACCAAGGAUAAUUCUGUGGACAUAUGAUAUCUAUCAUAACCUAGACGCAUGGCCUCCCAUGUACGAAGGUUUCCUUGAGCACUUCCCAAAGAUUUUAAUUUCUAAAACAGUUUUUGACUAUACUUUUAUGUAAAGUACCAUUGUAAGGUUGUGGUCGAGGCACCAUGAGAGUUACAUACAUUUGUAUUAAAACUCACAGUUAACUGUGGUCGUAUUCUAUACGACAGUUCAACAGUUGUAUAAAUGAAGUUGUAUAAAUGAAGUUGUAUUUAAAUUUUGUACCAUGUAUCUGGCGACUCAGAAUGGGUGAUGUAUACCUAAUUUUGGGGGCGUCAUAACCUAUAUACUAUGAUAAUUUUAUUUUAAAUAGUAGAGUACCAUACUCCACGAUCGUAGAGUGCAACUCCACGAUCAUAGAUAUCAACUUAAGAGUCAUCUGCGGACCCCCACUUUGAGUCCCAAAUUGGAAUACUGUAAAUUGAUGUUCCCAGACCAAUGAAAGAAGAAUUAAAAGCCUAUUAGGGACUAUUUUGAACAAAAGAUAAAAUCUCCGCAUUUAGAUAUAUUAAACCAUGAACAUAUAGUAUACAGAAAGUACUUAUUAUGAUAAAACUUAUACUUGAAAGCUUGAAGGCUGUUAUGGUAGUUUAGUACUAACUCAUGUUAAUAAUGCCUAAAAAUGAGUUGUUUUGGUAUUGGUACAUGAGAAAAGUUUCAAGCUUGUUAAAGUUUGUGAUGAUGAGUUUUAAGGAUCAUUUAAAGCUUAUAUGAAUGCUUAGAUAACCCUUGAAUCAUAGCUUGGAGACUGUUUGUGAGUAAUAGCUAAAAAUGUGCUUAAACUCUAGAUUAGAGGAAUGUUUUUGGUCAAGGUCAGUACCUGAACUUUUGAGUCAGUAAGGAGACUAUAAUAUGUCCAUAAUAAAAAUUUAAAAGUUGUUCCUUCACUUAGUUGAGGUCCAUAUUGAGUACUACUCAGUUUUUAUGUUUAAGGGCCAUGAAAAGUAAGCUUUAAAGUGUCAUCUAACACUUAAAAGAAGAGAGGCCAAACCUGGACCUUGUAGGUAAGUUUCAAUAGCUAUAAUAUGGCAUAAGUAAGCUACAUAAGUUAAAGAAACCAAGUCUAAACCGUUUUGAAUAUUAGACUUGUUAAAAAUCAUGUUUUAUAGGCCAAAAGUGGUCUGUUUUGGGUAAAUUUUAGUACCUAAAUUUGUAAGACUAUAAUGAACUCAUAUAAAGUUGCUAAUGCAUGCUGGUGAUGAUUUUUGAUCAUUUCCAUGACCAAAGUUAGUAAGAAAACCAAGUUAGGAUCUAUUUUUCAAGCUUAAAAUGAGUUUUGAUAGGUCAAAAUUGGCAAGAUGACUAAACAAAGUGAAAUGAUGAUAAAAGUAACCAUAGGCAACUAAAAUACAUAUGUCUAGACUAUUAAAGUAGCCAAAAAUGAAAGAAAUUUAAGAAGUGUCGAAAUUAGUUUUGGGAAAAAAGUGUUAAACUGUCCAGUUUGAGCCUCAGUUAAAGUAGGACUAACUGAUAUGAAUGAGGACCAUAAACCUUAUUAAAAUAUCUUGGUAUGUGGUCUAAAAGUAGGGCUAGAUGAUAGAGAUAAAAUCUUAACCAAGAAAUUCCAACAAAUCAUCAAAGUAGACAAUAAACUCAAUUCUGCAACAAUUGGGUAGUAAAGUGACUCGGUAGAUGGUAGAGUGAAAAACUCAGCAGAUGGUAGAGUGGAAAACUCAGCAGAUGGUAGAGUGACUCAGCAAAUGGUAGAGUGGCUCUGCAGAUAGUAGAGUGGUUCAGUAGAUAGUAGAGUGGCUCUACAGAUAGUAGAGUGGCUCAGAAGAUGGUAGAGUGGAAAACUCAGCAAAUGGUAGAGUGGAAAACUCAACAGAUAGUAGAGUGGAAAACUCAGCAAAUAUUAGAGUGAGAACUCUGAAAAUUGUAGAGUGGUCUCUAAAAAUCGUAAAGUGAACUCUGAAAAUAGUAAAAUGACUCUCAAAAUCGUAGAGAGAACUCUAAAAUUCGUAGAGUGAACUCUGAAAAUCGUAGAAUGACUCUCAAAAUCGUAGAGUGAAAAUUGUAGAGUGCAUAUAAUAGAGUAAAAAUGGGUAAACACCCUAGUUUGUGCCCAAUUUUGGUUAACUUCUAUAACUAAAUUUAAGAAACCAAACUCAAGGCAAAAUACUAUGAUAUAUGAUCUAAAUGCUUACACAAAUAAAAGAUCAAAUAUGUUAACCAUAAAGUCCAAAAACAUCAUCAAAGUGGCCUAAAAAUUCACUUUUGCUGCAGUUGAUAGUAGAGUGGAAAUGUAAAACACCCAUUUUGAGGCACUACCUUAAGAAGCCUUAAGAGGUUGUUUCAGUUGACUAACUAUGGAAUAAAAUACUAUAAUGUAUGGCUUAAAAGCUUGUUCAAACUUAGAAGGCAAAAGCUCAUUACAAAGAUUCAUAAAAAUCCCCAAAGUACCCUAGAAAAUCAUAUUUUCUAUUUUUGAAUAAUGAUGGAAUAAUGGGAUUUGAUUCCUGGAAAUGUCACAGCAUAACGUAAGAUCAUAUUUGAAGUGUAUAAUGAUCAAUGAUUUUUAUCAUGUUAUGAUUGGACCAAAAUGAGUAUAUUUGAGAAUGUAUAAGAACUAAGUAUGUAAUGUAUACUAUGUGUGUAUGAUCACAAAGUGAUGAACAAAGGCUAUAUGUCUAAUCUAAGUCUAAGGAACUUAGAUGAGUAAGGUUUAACCAAGUAAGGUAUGUUGUAAUGGUUUGAUACACACACAGUAAAUUACAAGUGCGAUAAACUAGCACAUGUGGUGAUGAAAGGAAAAUAAAACCGAGUUAUAUAAAUAACAAAGUUUAAUAUAAAAAAGGUAUAAGGACAAUAUAAGUAAAAGUAGGUUAUUAAAGUAAUGUUAACCAUGAGAUCAAGUAUUGACGAUGUUUAUUAUCAAUCUCACAUACCUUGUAGGUCAUGCAAAGGAACACGACAGGUUAACGGUAAAACACCUGUACAGACAAGUUUUUCAGAACUUGUUUUUAUAUGUGAACUUGUUAAUUGUUAUGUGCACAUACUUCCUGUAUUAUAUGUACUUCUUGUGAAUAAUUUGAGAUGUACGCUAUGUGUUAUACUAUGAUAUAAAUCUAUUGAAUCAAGUUAAUGAUUGAUGUGGAUUGAGUUAUGAAAACUCACUAUAUUCGUGAUAUGAGAUAUAUGAUAAGCAUGAGGCACGUAUAACUGUUGAGUAUGAAAAUUAUGAUGCCUGAAUAAAUGCAAAGUAUGAGAAACACGAAUUAUGUAUAAACUGCGGAGCAUUAACAAUUUAAAGUGUGUUUAAAAUGUGAACUUUGUAUUAUGUGAUAAUUGUUAAACUUAUUGGGCAACGUAGUUGCUCACCCUUGCUAUAAAUAAUUGUUUACAGCUAAACCAGAACGGAUCGAAGGAUUUAUGAUAGACACGUGAAAAAAGGAAGAAAUAUUGAUUGAAGUUAUUUGUUUAGUUCUAGCUAUGCUAGAGAACAUUCAUAUGACAUAUUGUAAUUGUAUAAUCAAAGAAGAUUGUAUAGAAGAAUAGUUAAGUCUAGUUGUGAGUUCAUGGAUACUUAAAAUCCAAUAUAUUUAAGUGAAACAUAUUAUUUAUAACUUGAACUGUAUAAUAUAAAUCAAUAUAAUUUAAAAGUGUAAAUACCAGGUUGUAAAGGUUGUAGAUUCUGGAAAUAGAAAGAAUUAAUGUAUUAAUUGGUAUCAAAGCGAGGUUGUAUUCAUUAUUUUAUGAAUAAAGGUUAUAAAUAUUCAUAUGAAGGUUGUAUAGUAAUGCACCAGGUCCGAGGUAACAGGUACUCAAAUUUGGGGGUGUUACAUGAUCCAUAUUAAAAUGCUAUUUGUGAACAUAGAGUUCAACUUCUGACUUUAAUCAUUACCUGUAUAUUCACAACGUAAUCCAACAUCUACAUACUCACUAUACACCACAUUUUAUACACUAUUGUCAUCACAUAAAUCUACUUUACAAAAAAUGGUAAAGUUAUAUUUCAUUUUCACACGAAUACUUUUAGUCAACAUCCAUCUAUUGGACGACUCAAAGUUUAUACAAUUCAAUAAAACUAUGUUACAACAUGUAGCAUCGACUUGGUAUAAACAAAACUUGAUAAAAUAAUACGCCUUUACUAAGCAUGUCGUAUUUGGAACCUUCGCUGCUAUAAUUUCUGAUAAAUCAACUUUCAUCUGCAAAUUUUAUAUUUUACAAGGUUAAGCACAACGACCAAGCAAGUCUAACAGUUUUCAUGCAUCAUGUUUCAUAUAUACUAUGCAUUUCAAUCAUGCAUCACGUAGCUCAUGUUAUGCAUUUUAUACAUGCUUCAUAAAUUUUAUACAAUGCAUUUACAUAUGCUUCACACAUCUCAUAAUAUGCAUCUUCAUAUGCGUACUUUCAAUUUCAUCAUAUUAUAUUUAGAUCGUACUUCAUAUGUUACCAAACGUAACAUUUCUCACAUAUCUCCAUUCACAUAUCACAAACAAAUUGAGUUCCAUAACUCAAUUAACUUUAGUCAUAAUUUGACUUUAGCAAUUCGUAUAGCAUUGACAUUAAAAAACAUGAAUUUUAACAUAUUCACAAGGAUUUCAUCAUAAUGCGAUAACAAUUGCACAUAACUAAAAUCGAGUUCACAUAAUACAAGUAAACUGAAAAACUUGUCUUUAUUGCAAAUUGUUACCAGGUCUACUUGAUAUCGUGUACUCAAAGCAAUGUUAUCUCUGUUAAGAAUAUACAUGAGAAUGUUAUUCCUUAUUUAUAUAAUUUGAUGAUGAAGAUGAUGAAGUUAAUGAAUAAUAUGCAAAUGUGCCUGCAUUGAUAAAAGCUGUAAAGUCCUUAAUAGAUGAUAGACAAUACAGACAAUGACUUAGAUUGAAAUGAUCAAAUAUGUUAGGUUGAUCUAAUAUGAAUGAAUAUUUUUAUAAAAGCCCUUCAAAAUAUCGUGAUGUACAAGGACUAUGAAUAGAAAGAUCAAAAUUUUUAGGUUGAUCUUAUAAAGUGUAAUAGAUAAGCAUGUUUGAUCAAAGAGCACUGAAUCGGUCACUAUAGUCUGCCAAAUGAAGAAUCGCAGGCUUCGCUCAAAAUCAUGGAGUCUACAAGUCAUCACCAAUGAAAAUCGUAGUCAGUCAAGUGCUCAUAAUACUAAAGUAGAAUCGUAGAGUACUCUACGAUUCUCAACAGAUGAACAAUCUUGAAGUGCAUACAUAGAUCUCAUCCUCUGAUAAGUGUAAUCAUGUUUUAGAAUGCAAUCUACUUGAAGAAUAUUAGAAAGCAUUCUUUGAAUGUCCUAAAAGUAAACAGAAGAUCAAAGCACCAACUCUACAGCAAGGCUAAUAGAGAAGUGAAAAGUUAUUCAGAAAGAGUCUCAUUAGAAGACAACGAUCGUAGUGCUUACCAAACAGCAAAAGGGUCUGUUAAAGAAACUACAAAGAUAAUGGUAAACCUUCCACAGAGUAAGCAUAAGACAAACUAGGAGGAUGUCAAUGCUUAGCCUCACCAUGGAGUAUGAUCAAGAGAUCACAAGGAUGAAGGUUAAGGAAGCUGAGCAUGACUAAUCAAAAGGGAUAUGCAAACCAAAGUUUCAAAGAAGUCAAUCAACUUGUUAGUUCUUGAAGCAAGGCAAGACAAGCAUGAUUGUAGAACAGAAUACAAAAGCAAAGUACAAGAUAGUACAAUUUUGAGCACUCUCGAAAUUAUAAGAGAUGUUAAGGUCAAAUCAUCCUACGAUUUCCACAGAAAAGCACGACCAAGUAAUCGUAGAGUUCAUAAAGGUCAACAUCAGCAUCGUAGAGGGCGUUUGUCUGAUGAGUGAGAAUGUCUAAACAAAGAAGACUGAUAUUCGAACUUUGUUAAUUGAGGAUCCCGAUAUACUCUCCAAAAAUCCUUGAUGUAAAUCAAGGAAAUAAAACAAAAGGGUGACUACCUACUAAUCUGCUGAAGGUGACAUUUCAGAAGUGUUAGGUGAUAAAGCAGACUGUUGUGUCAGGCAAGUCAAAAAGGAGUUAUCAUAUCAACUCAGUAUGUCUACAUAAAAGAUUUCAAAAUAGCUAAAACAUUAAAUGCUCCAAAUAAAGCUCUUCUACGGAAGACUCCCAACGAUUAUGUUCCAACGGGAAGAUGAUAGAUGAAUCUAAAAAUAGUCAAAGCUUCAAAGAACUUUAUAGAGAAAAUGUCUCAGUGAGAAUGAGACCACCACAGAAGAGUGAAUCAUAACUAAUGAGAGUCUUACAAUGAAAAAGCCUCACUCAAUACAAAGGAGUAUGACAACGAAGUGGCAUCUAUACUGAGAGCCUUCCGCCAAGAAGACAACAACUAGAGUGGCAGAUCAGAAAAUAGAAUACUUGAGUCACUCCACGUUUCACCAUGAACACACUGAGCUAAAGAAAAGAAGAUAAAGAGCCGAAUAUAUGCACAAGACAACCAGUGUUCAAAGACGGCUAAGUACCCAAAGAAGUCAAGCUGAUAUGCAAAGACUUAGCAGUACCUCAACGGUAACAAUGUGUAAUGCUGAAUAUCAGAUGAAGACAAACAUCAACAACAAAGAGCAACAACACCAAGGGAAGAAUCAGACUUCUAAGUACCAACAAGAUGUCAAGCUGAAUGUACAUCUUAGCAGUCUAUUAGAUGUGAUCAAGUACCAAUGCUGAAUGCCUAAUGAUCAAAAGAAGUCAUUAAGUACCAGAAGAUGAAUUGAACAAGUUAAAUGUCAUCUUAGCAUCUCAACAACAACAAACAACAAACAACCACCCAAGCAACCAGGGCCUGCAGGGUCCUUGCCUUAGUGACUAAACCAAAGUCGAGUCUGUUAAGCUUGCUGAGUACCGGAUGGUACAAGAGAUUCUAAGUCUGUCGAGCUUAGUCUACAGUUUCCAAGGCUGCUGGUCUUGAAGAGUUCUUAGUGAACUAGUGUUCCAAGGCUGUUGGUCUUGAAGGAUUCGAAGUUAAUCAAAUUCUUAGUGGAAUACCUGCUUGUUGAAGCAGAAGAGUGGAUUAGGAGCAUUCAGUCUCUGAACCACUUAAAACCUCUGGUGUAAUUUACUUUACGUCAUUUACAUUCAAUAUUUUAACUGUUAUAUCUGCUUGCAACUAACUUAACAUUAGAACUGUGUUUAAUGUUAUAUUCUUGAAGGGGAUCUUAAUCUAUUCUGAUGUGCAUAAAUUGAUUCCUCUAUUCAUUAUAUGUUUAUCACUUAUCUAGAUAAAAGAAAAAGAAAAGGUUUAAAUGAUCUAUUCAACCCCCCUUCUAGAUCUAUUAUGUGCCCCCGGGAACUAACAAUCUUGUAUCGCACCUAUAUAACAUACAUAAGGUGGUUAUGUAGGUUAAUGCAUUUAUAUCUCAUUAACUUUUGACUUAACUUUGUAUUUUUCAAGAUUAGUAAUUCAUUCUUAACUUUAUCAAAUAUAUUAGAUUUAUUUAUAUUAUUAUAGGUCAAAAUACACUAUUAAGUGUCCAAUUAUAUCAUCAUAUGUCACAAUAUAUCAAUCCUCCAAGUUUCAUUUUAAAAAGAAUUAUAAAACUCGUUUGAACUAUUUUAAUCGUUAACGAACCUUGUUUUUCGUUUAAUCAUAACUUCUUCGUUACUUAUCCGGUUUGGUUUAUUCUUACGCCAAAUUAAAGCUUAUUCCAUCUACUUUAACACCAUAUAGGCCCUGAUUUCAGUCCUUAUUCCAUUCGGUACAGAAAAUUGCCCAAACCUGCUACCCAGAAUCUGUCCAGAUUCUAGAAAGGUUGAAUGACACUUCUGUCCCUUCAAGUUGCCACAUACUUUCAAAGUCGUCCCUAAAGUUCAAUUUUUGUUAGUUAGGUCCUUAAAGUGGCAUUUUAUUGGCGUUUCAGUUUUUUCAGCCCAAUUUAACCUCAACCCGACCCAUUUUGACACAACCCGACCUAGUUAGACCCAACCUAAAAUUUUAAUAUUUAAAAUAUAAAAUUAUUUUUAAAAUAAUAAUUAUAUUUAACAUUUAAAAUAUAUAUAUUUAAUAUUUUAAAAUAAAUUAUUAUAUUUAAAAUAAUAAUUAUUUUAAUAUUUUAAAAUAAAAUAAUUAUUUAAAAAUAGCUAUUUUUGAUAUUUAAAAAUAAAAUAUUAGUUUUUCAAAAAAUUAAAUAAAAAUUAUUUUAAUAUUUUAAAAUAAAAUAUUUUUUAAAAUAAUUUUAAAAUAAUAAUUAUUGUACUUAAUAUUUUAAAAUAAUAUUUAUUUUUUAUAUUUAAAAUAAAACAUUAUUUUUAAAAAGUUAUAAAGAUAAUUAGUAUUAUAAGGAAAAAUAUUAGAAACUUUUAUUUUUUUCAAAAAUGAGUAAAGUUCCAUAAAAUAUAGAUUCAAAAAAAUUACAUAAUAUAAUAAAACAUUAAGUUUUAAAAAUAAAUUAAGUUUUUUUUUCAUUUUUUAUGUAAAAUGUAUUUUCAGAAAUUGUUUUUUAAUAUAUGUACCAUUAUUAUAUGUAUUCUUAAUAUAAGAAUUUUAAAAACAAAAACUAAAUAUAGAAAUUAAAAUAUAAAAAAUAGUAAAAGAUAAAUAAAAAGGUGAUUCAAUUUUUUUUUAAAAUAAAAAAAAUUAAAAAAAUAAUUAUUAUUUUUAGAAAGAAAAAAUUAUAAUUUUUUUAGAAAUAAUUAAGAACUUUAGGGAUUCAAUCUUAAUAUUAAAUGUAAUUAUUAUUUAAUUUUUUAAAAAAACUAAUAUCUUAUUUUAAAAUAUUAAAAUUAAUUAUUUUAUUUUAAAAUAUUAAAAUAAUUAUUAUUUUUAAAAGAAUAAUUUAUUUUAAAAUAUUAAAUAUUUUUUUAAAUGUUAAAUAUAAUUAUUAUUAUAAAAUGAUUUUAAAAAUAAUAUUAUAUUUUAAAAUAUUAAGAAAUCGGGAUUGGUCAAAAUGGGUCGAGUUUGGUCAAAAUUGGUCAAAAUGGGUCGGGUUGAGGUCAAAUUGGGCUGAAAGAACGGAAAUGCCAACAAAAUGUCAAUUUAAGGACCUAACUGAGAGAAAUUAAACUUUAGGGACGACUUUGAAAGUGGGUGACAACUUGGAGGGACAAAAGUGUCAUUCAGCCUUCUAGAAAUUCAAAUUUUUGUGUUUCUCGGGCUAGUUUUGUGAAUUUUUAUCUCAUUCAUUAUACAUCGGAUUAAAGCCAUUUUUGGAUAUGUACUACUUCAUACUACGUUUGUAUUUUUAAAAAUAUAACAUGUAUGAAAAGAGUUUGGCAAGGCUUCGAAACAGCCCAUUCACAACAGUUUUUGACUUGGAAAUUUCCAGAUUUCUAGCAACUUUGUUAUUUUCCUCCCUAAUUUGCGAUUUAGUAACUUGCACACCAUACACCUGAUUUACUUCAAUUUUGGAUAUGUUUGAGAUGUUAAUACAUACUCCCUUCGUCCCAUAUUAAAUGUCCUAAUUUCUUUUUUAGGAUGUUUCAAAAUAAAUGUCCUAUUUCUAUAUUAGUAACUAUAUAUUUCAUAUUUUUUCAUUUAUACCCUCAUAAUCUUUUUACUCGACUUUUAUUGGAAAUUGAAUAAAUGUGAAAAUAUUUAUGAGGUAGAACUGUGGGUGCGCAGAUAAUGAGAGUCACCAUGUUGAAACACUAACUAAAUUUGUAUUUUUGUCAAUAUUGUAAUCAGAAAUAUAAACUACUAGCAUUUGGCUAGAAUAUAUUUUUGUUUUAAGAAAAGAAAAGAACAAUAAUGUCUGCCAUUCUAAUUCAUUAGCCACGAAUAUAAAAAUUAUUUUUUGCAUAAAGAUCAUCAGCUGGGAGCAAGAACAGGGGAAUCCUGCACCGUCUUUUCAAUAUGAGAGAUACAAUUGAUUAGUUUAAAUAGCCAGUAGCCACUGACUUCUAUGUCUCUUCAGGUAAAAGAUUAAAUAGUUGGGUCUUGAUUUCAGAUGGAUGGUUGUUUCCAGUUUUGUGUUCAAAAAUUAAUAUGUAGAGAGCAUAACAAAUUUUUAUACCAUAAGCCAUAUGUGUGCCGUACUUUUUAUAUAAUAACUACUACUACUUUUGUUCUUAAUAUUUUUAACUUUUAUCAUGGUAGAAUUCUUAGCUCUUGCUGCCUUAUCUGUUGUAUAUGCCCACUAGGCCACUACCCAUCUGGUGCCUGUUUUCAUUUUUAGUGUAGAACUUUAAAGUCCGGAGUAGACUAAGAUAUGGCAUAUAUAUAGGCUAGCAUACUUCAAAUAUUUUUAACGCAUCAAUUAGAUUAGAGUUAGGGAUUGCAUGCAUUUGAGAUUAUUGUUCCAUUUUAUUUUCUUUUUUGGGUUGGACAUUUUUGUUCUUAUUCUUGAGACAUAGUUAUUGUAGGUUGCAGGUGGGGCAGGAUGAACAUGGGUGAUGCUGAGAGAAGACUCCUUGCUAAUGCGUUGCUUGCUAUCUCCAACUAAUAGUUCGUUCUCCUUUCUGAGGCAUGCAUACCUCUUCACAACUUUAACAUAGUUUACCACUAUAUAUCAAGAUCUUGUUUCAGCUUUAUGGAUGCAUAUGAUGACCUGUUGGAAAUUAUCUGCUAUAUUUCUAAUAGCAGUAAGUAACGCAACAAGGCAAAAAAAGAGAGCAGCAAAAUGAAUAAGGAAUGCCAAAAGAAUAACUCCUUCACUUUUCAAUUAAAAUCAUAAUAAUCCCCCUAAGGCUACUUACAACUACUAUUUAUAAAUUGAUGGAACAUGCAUGCCCACAUACUCCACUAUUAAUAAAGUGGAGAGACCCACUACUGCUACUAUCAAACCACUAAGCCACUACAUAAGACAAAAACAUAACCCCACUACUACAACUAGCCUUAAUAACAUAAAAUAUAAUUUGCAUCAUAUUUUAUCACUCCCCCUUGAUGCAAAAACUAGAUACACCAAGAAGAGACCUGAACAUCACAAGCUUAGAGUAAUGAAGAGCUUUAGUAAAAUCAUCAGCCACUUGCUCAGUUGUAGGACAAUACUUCAAUUCCAUUGCUCCUCCUGCUAUUACAUCUCUGAUAAAAUGAUGACAAAGUUCGAUGUGUUUGGUUCUUCCGUGGAAGACAGGAUUCUUCGUCAUUGCAAUUGUGGCCUUAUUGUCACAAUAUAUUUCUGUGGAACCAUGCUGAACUUGCUGCAAAUCUUCAAGAAUUCUCUUCAUCCAAAUACCUUGACAAACAGUUGAUGAUGCUGCAAUGUAGUCCUCCGCUUCUGAUGAAGAUAAUGCAGUGGUAGCUUGCUUCUUCGAACUCCAUGAAACAGCCCUUGAACCAAGGUUGAAUACAUAGCCACUUGUACUUUUUCUAUCAUCUACAAAACUUGUCCAAUCACUGUCAGUAAAACCAAUUAAUUGCAUCGUGGAGGUUGGACUAUACCAGAUUCCAUAGUUGCUAGUUGCUCGGAUAUAACAAAGAAUUUGUUUGGCUGCUCCAAGAUGAUGCAUUGACCGAUAGUGCAUGAACCUUUACACCAAAUUGACCAAAAACAUAAUAUCUGGGCGAGUAUGAGUCAAAUACAUCAGCCCACCAACAAUACUUCUAAACCACUUUUCAUUAGCCUUCGGUGUUCCAUCAUUCACAGUCAAUUUCUCACAGGUGUUCAUGGGAGUAGACACAACUUUACAAUUCAACAUAUUAAACUUCUUAAGUAAGUCUAGAGCAUACUUUUCACUACAAGAAAAAAGCUUAAGUCCGACGGAAUAGUCCCUCGAAAAUAAGCCUAUUCAGUCGGAAGUAGGCUAUUUCCGAUGAAAUUUUGCGUCGGACAUUCGGUUGUAUAUAAACGCGUCGAAGAUAAGGCCCGUUAAAAACUCUGUCGGAGUUUUCUUAUCUUCGACGAACUUAUCUCCGACGAAAAUGCGUCGAAAAUAAGCUAUUUAUGACUGAAUAAGUAGGACGAAACUUUUCGUCGAGUAUAAUAUUUAUUAUGUUCGACGGAACUAUUCCAUCGGAAGUAAGUUAUUUUCGACUGAAUAUUAAAAUGAACUGGUAUUUAUUUAAACUGGCUAAUUAUUAAUUCCGACGAAAUUUGCGUCGGAGAUAGCCUAGUUCGGACGGUUACAUUCCGUCGGAAUUAACAUAUAACAUUGUUUAUUAAAAAAUAUGUUCUUAUUAACACCGAUGGAAUAUCCGUCGGAAACACCUUAUUCCGUCGUAAAUAACAGUAAUUUUGAUAUGCUAUACACUAUGAUAAGGAACCCAAAUUUGAUAUGCUAUACACUUCAUAAUAUCAAUAUUCUGCAAUUUUCAAAUUCCAAAUAAUAUACAGUUAAAUAAUAUGCAGUCCACAGACCCAAAAUCAAAAUUUCAAUUUCAACAAUAUAUAUAAACAAGAAGAAUAGGACCCGAAUUUCAGAUUUCAGACUCCCAAUUCUACAGGACCCAAAUUUUCGACCCACAAAUUCAAAUCAACAACAUAUUAUCCAAAUUGGGUUAAUCUCAUAUUCAAACAACUCAAACUAAACCUAAAACAAAUUAAGCCACAAAUUUCAGAAAUAUCAUACAAAUUUCAGAAAUAUUAUAACUUUCAGACAUUCAAAAAUAAUUUUUAUUUAACAAUUUGCAACAAAUUAACCCUAAAAAUAUAAUGCUUUGCAGAAAACUAACCUUGAAAUUCAAUUAAUGUGCAAACUAAAGGAGAAGAUUAACCGACGGUGGUGCCUAGUGGUGGCUGCUGGUGGUGGUGGCAGUACGUGGUGGUGGUGGUGGACUCGAAGGUGGUGGUGGAACCGGUGGUGUUGGCGACGAUGGUGGUGGUGGAGAUGAGAGCAGUGAGAGAAGUGAGACUGAGAGAGAGAAUGAAGUGAGAGAGCGUAAAGUGAGAGAGAAAUGAGAGAGAGAGAUAGAGCAAAGUGAGAGAAAUGAGGGGCGGCUGGGGAAGACGUUCUGAUUAAUUAGGUUCUAUGCUUAUUUUCGAUGGAAUAUCCGUCGAACUUGACUCUGUAAUUAAGGUAUCUUCGACUGAAUACUCCGUCAGAAUACACACUAUUCCGUCGAAAAUAAGGUUGGCGCUGGCGGGAACAUUGGCGCCAAUGGGAUACAUAUAUUUCCGACGAACAUCCGUCGAAAUUAAUCUAGGUUCGACUGAAUUAUGUUCGACUGAAUAAUCCGUCGGAAUAAUUAUUAUCUUAGAGGGAAUAUGUCCGUCGAACUUAGCUCCGUCGGAAUUAGCCAGUUUUCUUGUGAAGCAAAAAUACCCUCAUUAGUUUGCUGAAUUUGAAGACCAAGAAAAUAAUGUAACAACCCCAAAUCUGUCAUCUCAAACUCACUCAUCAUGCUUUCUUUAAAUUAUCUAAUAAGAGCAUUAGAGGAGCCCAUAUAUAUCAUGUCAUCCAUAUAAACAAAAACAAUAAGCACAUCAUUACCCUUUACCUUCACAUAUAAGGUGGGUUCACUUUCACUUCGACAAAAAUCAUUUUGAAGGAAAUAGGAGUCAAGUCUGUUGCACCAAGCUCUCGGUGCUUGUUUGAGACCAUAAAUGGCCUUUUUCAACUUGUAAACUUUCUCCUCUUGACCAUUGAUAACAAAUCCCUGUAGUUGUUCAACAUACACAUCUUCAUCCAAAAACCCAUUUAGAAACACAGACUUUACAUCAAAUUGAAAAACAUUCCAAUUUUUUUGAGCCGCUAAUACCAAAAUUAGUCUAACAAUCUCAAAUCUAGCUACGGGUGAAAAGUUUCAAAAUAAUCAACUUCAUGCUUUUAUACAUACCCUUUAGCGACCAGCCUCACCUUAUGCUUCUGCACACUUCCAUCUGGUUGGUACUUACUUUGUAGACCCAUUUCACGCCAAUUGCUUUUUUCUCCGGUGGCAAAUCUACAAGCUCCCAUGUGUUAUUCCUUUCAAUGGCGGACAUCUUCUCCUUCAUUGAAUUCUCCCAUUCUUCUUUCCCACAAGCUUCAUCAUAACUUAAAGGUUCUACAAACAAAAGAGCAUAAGUGGAAGCAUAUAUAUCACUCAAAGACUGCAUCUUUAUUGGCGGAGAUUCAUUGUUUUGCAAGGAUUCACUGCUGCUAGAUGGGCUACUUCUAGUUGGACUAUUUUGCAAUGAUUUACUGCUGCUAGAUGGGCUAUUUGUUGAGCUUCUAGUUAAACUGUGCAUAGGAGACAUAUGAGGCGAAUUCAUGUACAUCCUCUUGUAGUUGAGUUAAUUUUGUCCCAUCAUCUACAAAAGGAUAUAUUCUGAUCUUUAUCACCAACUUGCUGCCAAACAAUGUUCUCAUCGAAAAUAACAUCUCGUCGAAUGAUUAGCUUCUUAGUAAGAGGAUUAUACAAACGAUAACCUUUAGUUUCAGCACUAUACCAAACAAAAAUGCACUUUUCGUUUUUCUUUUCCAACUUAGUACGAUCAGUAGAAUCAAUUAAGGCAUAUGCAAUAGAACCAAACACUUUUAAAUUACUUACAUUGGGCUUAACUCCCCACCAUGCUUCAUAAGGUGUUUGAUUUCUUUCUGCUUUUGUUAGAGAUAUAUUGAGAAGAUGGAUUACAGUAGCUAUUGCCUCGGCCCAAAAACUAUUUAGAAGCUCCUUCUCAUUUACCAUACUCCGUGCCAUUUCUACAACCGUCCGAUUUUUCCGUUCAGCAACUCCAUUCUGUUCUAGAGUCUUUCUUACUGUUAGUUGCCUCCGGAUACCAUUCUCUUUGCAAAAGAGAGUAAAUUCAUAGGACAAGAAACUUUCCCCUCUAUCAGUUCUGAGAGUUUUGAUUGCAUAACAUCUUUGUUUCUCUGCAAAAGCUUUGAACUCCUUAAACUUUUCAAACGCCUCAGAUUUUUGACUAAGAAAAAACACCCAACUCAUACGAGAAAAAUCAUCAGUAAAUAAUAAAAAAUAUUUACUAUUAUUUAAAGAUAAUGUUUUUGUUGGUCCAUAAAUAUAUGCGUGAACCAAUUCCAAAGGCAUCUUCGCUCUCCAAGCUUUACCAAUCGGAAAAGGCAGCUUAUGUUGCUUUCCAUAAACACAACCUUCACAAACACUAUCAACUGAACCAAUAGAUGGUAAUCCCGUCACCAUGUUUUUUUGACCCAAUAAUUUUAGCCCAUUAAAAUGCAAAUGCCCAUACCUUAAAUUCCAAAGCCUAGACUCUUCACGAACAUUAGCAACCAUUGCACAAUCAUCCAAACAUGAUAACGCAAGAUGAAACAUUUUGUUUUCAGUCAUGUGGACUUUAAAAAUAGAAUUUUCAGAUUUUCUAUUUUUAAUUUCACACAUUCCAUCAUGCAAAUGAACUAAAUAUCCCUUUUGAAUUAACUAACCCACACUAAGAAGGUUAUGUGCCAAACCAGGAAUAUAGUAAACAUCAUGAAUUAGUUUUUUAAUACCUGACUUAGUUUUAAUUGCAAUUGUCCCUUUUCCUUCAAUCUGUACUUGUUUGCCAUCACCAAGCCCGACCUUUAAUUGAACUGAUUCAUCCAUUGUUUGAAACAUUCCCCUUUCUCCGGUCAUAUGAUUUCUACAGCCACUGUUUAGAAACCAAACCUCAUUCUUACUUAUGUUAGGAUUUAAAUAAGUAAGAAAAGGCUACCUUCCUCUUCAUUUUCCUCGACAAAAUUGACUUGUUGUUUGGCUUUCUCAAUUUUUUCCGGGCAAUUUCGUGCUAUAUGACCAUAGUUGUUGCAAUUAUAGCACUGCCUUCCUUUGUUAUCCUGCCUGUCAAAAUGCCCCAUAUCAGACCUUCCUCGACCUCUUCCACGACCACGGUAGCCACCUCUACCUUGGCCUCUGCCAAAUAUCUUUUGUCCAGAAGAGCCUUCACCAAAUUUUCCUUUAUUUGAGAGCUUCACUUUGGUUUGAAAGGGAUGCUCAAGAUUCUUCUCUUUUGACCUGUUAAUUCUCUCUUCAUGUGCUAAAAGAGAACCCAUUAGUUCAUUAAGAGAAAAUGUAGACAAGUCCUUAGACUCCUCAAUGACUGUAACAACAUGAUCAAAUUUAUUCUGAAGACUUCUUAAUAUCUUCUCCACAAUUUUCUAAUCUGAGAUAGUUUCUCCAAAAGCUCUCAUUUGAUUAACUAUACCAGAUACUCUAAAAAAGAAAUCUUGAAUGGACUUGUUACCUUUCAUGAGAAGUGUCUCAAAUUCCCUUCGGAAUGUCUGCAAUUUAACCGUUGUUACCUUGUUGUCUCCGUGGAACUCCUACUUCAAAAUAGUCCAUGCUUCCUUUGAUUUUGUGGCACCAGCAAUUCGAGGAAAUAUAGGGUCUGUUACACCUGUUGAAAAACAAGUAGAGCCUUCACAUCCUUUUUGCGAAGUUCUCUAACAUCUGUUGCAUUCUCUACAAAACCAUUCUCAACCAACUCCCAAAGUUCUUGUGCAAUAAAAAAAGUUUUCAUUUUGAUGAUGCUCCAAAACUCAUAAUUUUCUCUAAUAAAUGAAGGAAUCAAGGAUUGAGAAAGAUUUAGAACAUUACCAUUUGCCAUAGUUGCAAAAAGCUUUACCUGAACACCUUGUGUGCACAACAAUAAGACCCACUGAUGAUGCUACAUCAACAAUCCAGAAAACUCCAGCGCCCAACGUCAAUCAAACGAGGCUCUGAUACCAAAAACUGUUGGAAAUCUGCUAUAUUUCUAAUAGCAGUAAGUAACGCAACAAGGCAAAAAAAAAAAGAGCAGCAAAAUGAAUAAGGAAUGCAAAAAGAAUAACUCCUUCACUUUUCAAUUAAAAUCAUAAUAAUCCCCCUAAAGCUACUUACAACUACUAUUUAUAAACUGAUGGAACAUGCCCACAUACUCCACAAUUAAUAAAGUGGAGAGACCCACUACUACUACUAUCAAACCACUAAGCCACUACAUAAGACAAAAACAUAACCCCACUACUACUACUAGCCUUAAUAACAUAAAAUAUAAUUUACAUCAUAUUUUAUCAUGACCCUGGACCCUAUGGAAAAGGGGGCUAUAAUGACAACAUGGUUCACGUGGUUAACAUCACCCAAUGGCACAACAGGUCUCAGUGGUUUGAAAUUAAUUGAAAACUAGCAAUUGACAUUGUUGAAGAUGAUACUUUUACCCAAAGUUUGAGUAAUUACGUUAUGCAGACCAGCGUGUUAUGUGGAAGAGCACUAUUUUCCAACCAUGUUGAGCAUCCAUUCGCCCAGCCUCUUGGCAAACAGGAGCAUUACCUUGGUGGACAGUGGACUGGUCUAUAGAUGGUGCUCAUCCUGCUACAUUUGGGAAAGCUAAUAUGACACAAUAAUUUUUUAAGAAAAUUCUCCAAGCUCAAACAUGGAGCUAUAAUAACCGGACAUUUUCACCUAUAAGAAACCCUUCGUUGGAAAUAAUUGUUUGUUGGUGCAUACUAUAUUACUUUUUGUUUAUUUCUAUAUAUAAUUUGUAUUGGCUUUAAGACUCUUUUUUUCAUGAAGGUGUUUAUUUGAAUUUUUAAUGUAAAAAUAUUUAAAAAUAUAUUUUUCUAGUGAAUAUGUUCUUUUAGUUGUAUUUAAUUUAUUUUUUUCAUUCAUUUUAUAAGUUUGUAGACUAUAGUAUAUAACAAACGAAAAAAAUCAUUUCACAUUUCAUUAAACAGUUAAAGUAAAGUAGAAUGAUAAUUUUAUUCUUGACCGAAUGAAUGAACAAACCAAACAUAAAAAUGGAAUGAUCAUUCCAUUCCCAUUCCCAUUCCCAUUCCCAUUCCAUUCCUUAAGCCAUUCCAUUCCUUACAUGCCAAGGAAUGGAAACCAAACAUAGUAUAAGUUGUUUUCGCGGUAGGCAACGUUAAGGGCUUUUAUUAUUUUUAUUACUAUUAUUAUUAAUAUUAUUAUUAACUAGCUCAUAAUCUUAUGAGAAGCACAAACUUUGUUUUGUUAUAAAAUUAUAGUGUUGUGGGCCCAAGUGCAAAAUUAGGGUUCACAUGACCUAAUUGAAUUAAAUGCACAAUUAGAGUUCCACGACCUCAUUAAAUGUGCAAAUUAGAAUUCACAUAACCUAAUCAAAUGAAGACGAAAAAGUUAGAAAUAAAUGUGCUAGACCCGAAAGAAGCCUCCACGUGUCCCGAGGCAGAAGACUCGUGGAGGCGACUCGUUUUGAGAAUUGAUUGAGGAAUGGGAUUGGUGGCUAGAAUGACAGGGAAAUAUGGGCAUUAUUCUAAUGACUAAAGGGUAUUUCUGUUAUUUCCCUGAAAACAUGUGCCUAACAUGUGACUACUUAAUUCUAGGAAACUCUAUAAAUACCCCUUCCAUUCUAGGAAGGGGGAGGACUCUUUUUGGUGACUUACGGUUUGGAUAUUCCACCUAAAAGCACUAAACGGGUUUGGGACCUCUCUUCAGACGCAUGACUUGGACUCUUGGAGGAUCAAAGGACCUGGACAUUCUCUCUCAACACUCAGGAAGAUUCUUUGAAUCCCAAUAACCCUAAUAAGGUUUUCGGAUUCUAGGAGUGGAAGGACUCAAGGAGAAGGCUCUUGAAAUCCCAAUAACCCUAAUAAGGUUUUCGGAUUCUAGGAGUUUUGCCACGCGUCAUUGGAGUAAUCGCCCACCUGUCGAUCUCCCCUCUUCAAUAAAUCAAUCAAUUCUGUGUUCUUCGUGUAUUUCUCUCCUCCUCAGCCAAUACGAAACCCUAAAUGGUAAGGCACGAUUUUCUUGCCCACAUUUCUUUGGCGACUCUGCUGGGGAGGUGUAGAAUUCAUGAAGGGUAUGCUCAUAACUCGAAGUGGGAGAACAACAGGAAAAGCUUCACCAACAAAUAGCAUUACCUCACCGGAUCCAGUUCCAAGGCAGUCAAGUCAAGCUUUCCAAGGCGUGAAUCUAAAUCUCGAGCAACCCAUCCUUAGAGAAGCCUCAGAAGGAACUUCAACAUCACCAUACAUGGCUGAUCAACAACUAACGAAUGUCAGGCAGACAGGUGUGAGAAGGCAAGGCGAGAAAGAAUGUGGGGAUCAGGCAAAUGCUGUGCAACUGGAGAUGCUCAAGACUUUGAAGGAAGCACGUGAAGGACAAGGGAUGAUGAUGGCUAUGAUGCUGAAGAUGCAGAGGAAGCAAGAAGAAAUGGAAAAUUUUCGUCAGCAGUGGAUGCAGAUUCCCGCUUUCAAAGCCAUGUUCCCAGACAAUUCACAUGGAGAACCGACAGGAGUGGAGAACAACAAUAACGAUAGAAACAAUAAGGAGAAUCAGACUGCACCUAUAUUGACGGAGCAUUAGUCUGUUCCAAUCAUCCACUUGGAACCUCAAAACAGUGGUGACGUGCCACAACCCAGAUUGGAAGUCAGCCAACCUCAGACAAACAUCAUUCUGAUUACUAUCCCCGCAUUUUCACAAGUGCAGAUACCAACCAUCCCAAGCCUCGUUCAACGAACUAGCCCACAAGCAUAACCGAUUGAUGCCAGUGUACAUCAGCUAAUUUCUGUACCACAGAGAGUCCAUACCACGAGCCAAUAUGUGACAAAGGAUGAUAUGAUCGAUGUGAUCAAUCAACUUCACAAGCAGACAUCCUGACCUUCAGAGUUCGACUUUACUCCACCCUACCCGGCACAUAUUCAGAGAUAACCUUACCCGACAGGGUAUAUUGAGCAUCCCCCACAAUUUUCAAAAUACAAUGGGGAGAAAGGAAAUGCCAGGGAACACAUUGCCAGGUUCGUGGAGUCUAUGUCUCCAUGGUUAGGGUAUGAUGAAAGGAACAAUCACAAUUUGUUGAUGAGGAAAUUCAACUAGACUUUGACAGAUAAUGCCUUCAGUUGGUACUACAACUUGGAGAAGGGAUCAGUCCAUGAUUGGGAUGAUCUAAAAGUGAAAUUUUUUAAGAAAUUUUUUUAUGUGCAGAAAUAGGUAACCAUCGUAGAGCUCAUGCGAUUCAAGUAAAAGCCAAACGAGGAGGUGUCAGAUUACGUGGAUAGGUUCAGGGCCCAAGCAUAGAAGUGUGCAGAGCCAAUUGAAGAAAAGAACUUGGUUAGCAUAUGCAACAAUGGUGCUUUAAACGCCUUCAAGCCCCACCUCAUUACCAAGGCAUGUGAUUCAUUUGCGACCCUCUCAUCUUUUGCACAAGACUUGGGGGGAAUAAUGACAUUUCCCACCAGCCAUACGAUGGAUACAUGGAAGAACAAGGGGAUAGCAACUGUGGCUUUGGUGGAUUCUCAGUCAAAACCACAAGGGGGCAAGAGGGAGAAGAAUGAGAAAUUUGAACGAAGCAGAGAAAAGCAUGGGGACAAGUAUACCAGAAUGCCCAUUCCAGAGGCUAUCACAUGCAGCGAGAAGGCAUUUAGGAGCCUGUACGAACAAUGGGUUGAGCACAAAGUGGUGAAACCUCCAAGGCCCCGGUUGGUUGUGACGGAAGAGAUGAAAAAAAGACUAGACUUCUGUGUAUACAACCAAUACGUACGGCAUUCCAUUAUGGACUGUUACAGUCUGCGGAGGAUAUACCAUGAGAAGCUGGCGGCCGAAGAGAUUGAACUAGGAGAAAAAACGUGCAACACUAUCACCCAUGGUGCAGUACCGAAAGUCAAUAACCUAAAUACUGGCUCUACCAUUGAAAGAACUCUGAACUAUAGAUGAAUUAAAAAUCCACCCAAGAUGGUGGUCCACCAAAAAAUGUUGGUUCAAGUCAUCAGGAGUAUCCCUUGCCAAAUAAUUGGAUGACCAAGGGAGGAGGCACAAGAAUUGACGAAAAAUUUUUUCCACCCAAGAUGGUGGUCCACACUAAAUGGUGGCCAAGUCCUCAUAGACUGCACUUUCUAAGAAAUUGGACGACCCAAGUGACGAGGCACCAAAUUUCAAUUCCUCGUAGACUGCACUUGCCAAGAAAUUGGACGACCCAAGUGACGAGGCACCCGAUUUCAAGUCCUCGUAGACCGUACUUGCCAAGAAAUUGGACGACCCAAGUGACGAGGCACCCGAGUGUUACACUUUAUCAUCAAAAGUGAAUGAGGCACUUGACUAUAAGUCCUCAGACCCGAAAAGUUAUACUUUCAACUUUAAAAGUAAUUGAGGCACCUGACUAUAAGCCCUCAACCCCGAAAAAGUUACACUUUAUCUCUAAAAGUGGUGAACGUUAUGCUUUCGCCGACAAAAGCAAGAUUUAUUAUAUGAAACGUUAUGCUUUUCGUUAAAAGCAAUUUGAUUAUCAAUAAAUUUGUCAAACUUUCACUUAUACUUGAUUUAUUUCUUUUGAUUUAUGAAAAAAAAUGAAAAAAUAAAUAAAUAAAAAAAAGAGUAUAGAUUCAAGUGUUAGUUUGUAUGAAAUAUAUGUACAUGAUUUUCUGAUACAGGAAAUAAAAAAAAAACUACGAAAGUUCAUGAUCUAAAGGCCAUGACCUGUCGAAUUGAAGAUAGAUGAAUACCUAAAGCUUGGUCUUCGUGGCUAUCAGUAAGGGUGUUCACGGGUAAAAAAUCGGAUCGAACCGGUCCGAACCGGACCGAAUGCCGAUAGUACCCAAAAUACAGUACCGAUACCGGUACCAGUUGAACCGGUAUACCGAACCGAAUAGCCGAUUCGAUACCGGUUCGGUACCGGUUUUUACUUUACUAGAACCGGCCCUAAUUUUAACAAAAACUCAGCCCAAUUUUAAACCAAAAUCAGCCCAAGAAAGAGCAGACCAAGACUUGUUUUUCUGCAAAAAUUCGGCCCAAGGUCAAGACAUUUUGACCCAAUAAAAAAUAAAAGACUUGAAAGUCUUUUUAUAAGAAAAACUUACUUGAACUUUUAUAAAAUAACCAAUGUGGGACUUGGCUAUUAAGGUCAUGUGCCUUUUUAGAAGGAAAACUUCAAAAUAUUUUUAUAAAAAAAACCAAUGUGGGACUUGGUCACUUGGCUAUUAAAAUCUCACUUGAUAGUAUUUUUAUAAGGAAAACUUCCUUACACUUUUAUAAAAUAACCAAUGUGAGACUUGACUAUUAAGGUCUUACUUGUAGUUUUUUUAUAGGAAAACUUCCUUAGACUUUUUAUAAAGAACCAAUGUGGGACUUUAAUACUGGACCUUCACUUGGUAGUCUUUUAUUAAUCAAUGUAGACCACUUAAAGAAGACUUUUAUUCUAAUUUCUUUUACUUUUACCAAUUAAAAUAAUAUAGAACUUGUAAACAACCAACUAUUAAUGUAUUUAAGUUUAUCUAAUUUUUUUUACUUUUUCCAAUCAUUAUAGAACUUGUAAACCACUAACUAUUAAUGUUUCCCUUAGUACUAUUUUUAUAAAAAAACUUUACUUGAUACUUGGUAGUCUAUACUUGAUAGUCUUUUAUAAAGAAAACUUCCUUAAACCUUUAUAAAUAACUAAUGUGGGACUUGACAAUUAAGGUCUCACUUGAUAGUCUUUUAUAAGGAAAAUUUCUUUUGAUUUUUAUAAAAUUAACCAAUGUGGGACUAGUACUUGUCCUUCACUUGGUAGUCUUUUAUAAGGAAAAUUUCCUUAGAGUUUUAUAAAAUUAGCUAAUGUGGGACUUGAAUACUUGACCUUAACUUGGUAGUCUUUUAUUAAUCAAUGUGGGACUUCUAAACAACCAUAUAAUCAAUGUAGGUCUCACUUGUAUUUUUUUUAAAGGAAAAUUUCCUUAGACUUUUAAAAGUGAACCAAUGUCGGACUUGACUAUUAAGGUUUUACUUUGAAGUCUUUUAAUAAAGAUAACUUCCUUAGACUUUUAAAAGUGAACCAAUAAGGGACUUGACUAUUAAGGUUUUACUUUGAAGUCUUUUUAUAAGGAAAACUUCCUUAGACUUUUACAAGUGAACCAAUGUGGGAAUUGACUAUUAACGUUUUACUUUGAAGUCUUUUUAUAAGGAAAACUUCCUUAGACUUUUACAAGUUAACCAAUGUGGGACUUGGCUAUAUGUUAUUCUCUUGUCUUACCAAUAUCCCCCAUUGUCUAAUUUGUGUUCUCAUGUCUUACUUCUAUUCUAUAAAUAGAGGAGACCACCAAUUCAAAUUUCAUUCAAGUCCCAAGUAUUUUAUUUUGUAUUUUCUUGUGUUAGUUCUAUAGUUCUAUUUUAUAAAUAGAGGAGACUUUAACCCAUUUUUUCAAAGCUAAGUGAAAUAUUUUUUAAAAAAAGAAUUAAACCGGUACAAUCGGUUCGGUCCGGUACAUACCGAACUUCUAAAAUAGGUAACCGGAACCGGUACCGAAAAAUCGGUAUAUACUGGUUUUUUUGUACUGAACCGGAUCGGUUCUUUUUUAUACCGAACCGACCGGUUCGGUCAGGUUUGGAAAAUUGAAAAACCAGAAAAACCGAUCCAAAUGAACUGCCCUAGCUAUCAGGCCUUCGAGGCUAUCAGCAGGUCAUCGAGGCUAUCAGCAGGUCUUCUAGGCAAUCAGCAGGUCUUCGAGGCUAUCAGCAGGACUUCGAUGCUAUCUUCAGGCCUUCGAUGCUAUCUUCAGGCCUUCGAUACUAUUAGGCCUUCGAGGCUAUCAGGACUUCGAGGUUAUCAGUAGGACUUCAAGGCUAUCAGCAGGUCUUCGAGGCUAUCAGGCCUUCGAAGAUAUCAGGCCUUCAAGGCUUUCAGGCCUUCACGGAAUUCUUGGUUCUCAAUGACUUCUUGAUUCUAAAGAAAAGAAAAAUUUCAAGAGAGGGUAAGAAAGAUUAGAUCGAAGAUUUUCAAAUUAUCCCAAGAGAGCUCCUCUAAGGCUCGCCCUUCUAGGGUUUGCUCCCCUAGAGGUUCCCUCUCCUAGGACUUUUAUUUUCGAGGCUUGCAAAACAUCAAGCCCCGCAAAGUGUUAAGACACUGGAAUCAAGACUUCAACACUAUGUUGGGAGAAUGCAUAUUAUGCUUUGAUGUUUUAAUGUAUAUGUUCAUAAUUAUUUGUAAGGUCCUUAAAUGAAUAUAUGUACAAGGACUUAGUGAUAGAUCAAAGUUGUUAGGUUGAUCUAAGCUUUCAACGUGUACCAUUCUGAUAAAGAAUGUAUAGAUAGAAAGAUCAAAACUGUUAGGUUGAUCUUAAGAUGUAAUAGAUUAGUCUUGAAGAAAUCGUAGUACAUCCAUCUGAUCAACAUUGCAGGAGUCAAGGCAGAAAACGUAGAGCCUGAAGAUCGUAGUGUGCCUGCCUUGAAGGGGACUCUUCGGAAAUCGUAGAGUGGUCCCAACGUUUGCCGAGCCAACUCCACGAUCGCAGUAUGCUGAAGGAAACAUGAAGUUUUAUAAGUCAACGACCGUAGUGUGCUCUCGGGAACAUAGAGUCAACAACACAAGCAAGAGAAGAUCGUAGUGUGCGAAGGUUUAAGGGAAAUCGUAGUGCUCUCGAACUGAUAACUUCGUAGUAUGCAAAGAUGUCAAAGACACUACGAUCUAAAUCAUAGAACACCACAAUCCAAAUCGUAGAGCAUCAUCUGUCUUAUGUCAGAAAACGUAGAGCCUCAUGAUCUGUGUUUUCAAUAAGUGAGGAAUGGAUCCCAGAUGCUGCAGUGCUCAUCAGUCCCAAAAUAUAUGAAAUAUCCUUAGUAUGUAACAAAGAAGCGUAUUGAAGAAGCUAAGGAUAGUACCAUGGGUAAGAGGGACAAAACACAUUUUCAGGUGGUAGGUGAGAAAGCAGCCUGCAGUGUCAGUGGGCCAGAAUGCAGAAUCCAGAAGAUGUGCAAAAAUGUCUCCAUCACAGUACAGAAAGUUCAGACGCAUUUAAUGCCACAACGGAUGGAUCCAACGAAUAGUUUUCAACAUCACAUAUAUAUACAGAUCAGACAGAUGAGAGAGAAAAUAAGCAAGCAUUAAACAAACAACGUGAACAUCUCUCUCAAGCUCAACUCUACGAUCUGAGAUAUUGCAAAGCUUGCUCAGCUACUCAGUUCUUUAGAACAAGUGCUUACACAGCGACUAAAUAGCAACCAUCAAGAACUCAACAACUAUCAAUCAACUGAAGAAGAGUACCAAGUCUGCUGGACUUGAAGAGUUUGUAGUGAACUGUAAGAAAGCCAAGUCUGUUGGACUUGAAGAGUUCAAGAGUGAACUAGAGAAGUUCCUAGACUGCUGGUCUAGAAGGAAUCUGUGUGAUUCAGAAGAUUGUAAAAGACAUCCUUAGUGGAUAUCCUACUCAUUGAGUAGAAGAGUGGACUAGGAGCUUUGAGUGCUCUGAACCACUUAAAAACAACUGUGUCAUUUACAUUCAUGUUAUAUCUGCUAUAACUUCCUUACUCGCUCAUAACUCCAUUGCCUGGUAAAGAAGAUUAAAACAAAUACUAAUUCCGCUAAGUUUUAAUCAUUAUCUAAGAACAAGUUUAAAAAGGAAAGAUUUUCAAAUAUCUAUUCAACCCCCCCCCCCUUCUAGAUAACUUGUGCCUACUAGGAACUAAUAAUUGGUAUCAGAGCAGGUUCUAUUUUACAGCUUACAAGCUUUAGUAGAUCCAAAUGGUACUCGUACCAAGCGAAUCCAGGACCAGGGGAGGCAGCAAGCCACCAAUGUGCAACAAGGAUAAAUUUGCUAACUGGAAAGUCAGGAUGCAAGCUUACAUGGACUCAAUAGAUGAAGAUCUAUUUAAGACUGUUCUUAAUGGGCCCUAUAUACCAACGAAGCUUGCACCAACCAUUGACGAUCCAAACAGAGUACAAAUCAAAGUUAAAGAAGAAUGGACAGACACAGAGAAGAGAGCUGUCCAACUUGAUAAAAAGGCAAAGAACAUCCUGUUCCAAUCCUUAGAGGACGAUCUGUUUGAAAAUGUUGUAAACAGCAAAACAGCUAAGGAAGUUUAGGAAGCACUGCUGAUUAUGCACGAAGGAACUGAAGAAGUCAGAGAGAACAAGCAGUCUCUCCUGACACAGCAGUAUGAAAUGUUCGCUCAUGUGCAAGGAGAAAACGUGACCACAACCUAUGAAAGAUUCAACGUUCUGCUCAACUCUCUACGAGUGUAUGGGAAGAUCUAUCCUAACAAGGAUCUAACCAUAAAGUUCAUGAGAGCCCUACCGAGCAGGUGGGAUGCAAAGACCACAACAAUAAGAGAAUCAAAGAAUCUUAAUGAGAUGACAGUUCAAAAAAUGUAUGGAAAUCUCCUGACCUACGAACUGGAGUUGACCCAACGCACUGAAACCUUAUCAGAAGGAAGAAGAAAGGAUAAGGGUGUUGCUCUNNNNNNNNNNNNNNNNNNNNNNNNNNNNNNNNNNNNNNNNNNNNNNNNNNNNNNNNNNNNNNNNNNNNNNNNNNNNNNNNNNNNNNNNNNNNNNNNNNNNNNNNNNNNNNNNNNNNNNNNNNNNNNNNNNNNNNNNNNNNNNNNNNNNNNNNNNNNNNNNNNNNNNNNNNNNNNNNNNNNNNNNNNNNNNNNNNNNNNNNNNNNNNNNNNNNNNNNNNNNNNNNNNNNNNNNNNNNNNNNNNNNNNNNNNNNNNNNNNNNNNNNNNNNNNNNNNNNNNNNNNNNNNNNNNNNNNNNNNNNNNNNNNNNNNNNNNNNNNNNNNNNNNNNNNNNNNNNNNNNNNNNNNNNNNNNNNNNNNNNNNNNNNNNNNNNNNNNNNNNNNNNNNNNNNNNNNNNNNNNNNNNNNNNNNNNNNNNNNNNNNNNNNNNNNNNNNNNNNNNNNNNNNNNNNNNNNNNNNNNNNNNNNNNNNNNNNNNNNNNNNNNNNNNNNNNNNNNNNNNNNNNNNNNNNNNNNNNNNNNNNNNNNNNNNNNNNNNNNNNNNNNNNNNNNNNNNNNNNNNNNNNNNNNNNNNNNNNNNNNNNNNNNNNUUCAACCUUGUUCUACUGUUUCUAGUUAUAUUCAGAGAAGUAAAGGAUCUCACGUUGGUCUGGGUUUCAUAAAGGAGAAAAGUAACCCAACCUCUACUCACCAACCUCGAAGAAUCGUAGAGUCAAGCAAAACCAACUCUAUGAAUUAACUAGGAAGGUACAAUAGAGGUAAGGCACACUCAUCCCUAUUUAUGAAACCUAAGGACACGUGGAAGAAAGAGAAUCAGUUUAACAGAAGGUUAACUAAGGAACCACACAAGUCCAAGUGGAAGAUGAAUCACCACACACACACAGGCAUGCAUCAUAAUAGAUGUUUCAUAUGCAAUAAAUUUGGUCAUAGGGCCACAAAGUGUUAUUAUAACUCCAUGCAUGUGAGACCCAAGAUUAGACAAAUUUGGGUCCCUAAAGGCACUAACAAUGAAGGACCCAUGCAAAUAUGGGUACCAAAAUGAAGGUUCAAAUGUUUUGACAGGAAAAGAGCUCCACGACCUCAACAUGGUAUCUGGACAGUGGAUGCUCAAGGCAUAUGACAGGGAACAAAGCUCUACUAUCUAACUAUGUAGAAAAAGAGGGUCCCUCAGUCAUCUUUGGAGAUAACGGCUAGGGUAAGACAAGAGGAUUUGGCUCUGCUGGAAAUGGUGCAGUAUCUUUCAGCAAAGUAGCUUAUGUGGAAGGACUCCAACACAACCUUCUAAGUAUCAGCCAACUCUGCGACAAGGGUCACCAAGUAACAUUUCUAAACAACCAAUGUCUAGUCAGAGAUUUGAAGACAUCUGCCAUAAAGCUGACCGGAACAAGAGAAGGAAAUGUCUACACAGUAGAUCUUGGUCAACUAAGCUCUGAUGAGACAAUAUGUUUUCUGGCAAAAGCAUCCGAGGAAAUGAGCUAGCUAUGGCAUAGAAGGCUGUCUCACUUAAACUUUAAAAGCAUGUCCAAACUGGCAUCAAAAGACCUUGUAGCUGGUCUACCCAAGUUCAACUUUGUGAAGGAAAGGCCAUGCAAUGCCUGCCAGCUUGGAAAUCAAACCAGAAGCUCAUUCAAGUGCAAGACUGCCAACUCCAUUGACAAACCCCUGCAUCUGCUCCACAUGGAUCUUUUUGGGUCAAUCCUAACAACUAGUCUUGAAGGAAAAAGAUACUCUCUAUUCAUAGUUGACGACUACACCAGAUUCACAUGGGUAUUUUUUUUAACCUCAAAGGAUGAGACAAGCUCCGAAUUAAUCAAGAUGUUCAGACUGGUGAUGAACGAGAAAGGAGAGAAAAUCAAGGCCAUAAGGAGUGAUCAUGGAAGAGAAUUUGAUUUCUUAGAAAUAGACAAGUUCUGCUCAGACAAUGGCAUCAGUCAUAACUUCUCAGCUCCACGAACUCCUCAACAAAAUGGAGUUGCUGAAAGAAAGAACAGAACCCUGAUAGAGGCUGGAAGGACUCUACUAGCAGCAGCUCGUCUUCCUGAAUACUUCUGGGCAGAAGCUGUCAACACUGCAUACUACUCACAGAAUAGAUCAUUAAUUCACUCUACGAUCAAGGAGACACCCUACGAACUAUGGAAAUGAAGGAAGCCGAGUGUCAGCUAUUUCUAUGUCUUUGGCUGUGCAUGCUAUAUUCUCAACAAUGGAAAACAGUAUCUGACAAAAUUUCAGCCCAAGUCAGACGAAGGAAUUUUUCUUGGAUAUGCCACAGACAGCAAAGCUUACAGGGUGUUUAACAAGAAGACACUGAAUAUCGAAGUCUCAAUACACAUCAUCUUUGAUGAAACUGACUUAGACUAAGCAGUACCUCAAGACACUACGACCGAUAGUGCAGACACUAUGNNNNNNNNNNNNNNNNNNNNNNNNNNNNNNNNNNNNNNNNNNNNNNNNNNNNNNNNNNNNNNNNNNNNNNNNNNNNNNNNNNNNNNNNNNNNNNNNNNNNACAUGUCCCACUAAGUCAAAAAGAGAGAGGGAAGUUACAAGUACAAAUUGAAACCGUGUUUUUGAAAUCUGAAGUUUAAAAGAUUAUCUCUCCCAUUCUCUCUCUCUCAAAGCAAAACCCUAAAUCAGUAGAAAGCUCAGUCGUAUCUCACUUCUCAAACUACAGAAUCAAUGGUUGCUUCAAAUGUAAUUUCAGGCUACAGACUCUGUUUUGACGAGUUCAAAGAUGCUCCACCAAAAUUUCACAAGACCUUAGCGCUACUGAAGAAGGCAGAUCUCGAAGAGGCGCUGAGCACCGACACCCUCAUCUACCCCAAGCUAGUGAAGGAGUUCUACAAGAAUGGUGUGAACGAACACAACACCAUCACUACACGAGUAAAAGGAGUAGAAAUGAGACUAAGGGAAGAAGACUUCAAUCUGGCCCUAGGUUUCAAGAAUGUAGGGCACCCAUUUCUAGACAGCAUAAGCUUCCAAGAGGGAUUGAAGAAAAUGCACCACAAGAAGAAUCCCUCUGUGAAAGGCUACAAAAAGAAGGAGUUCCCUCAAAGGUACGAAUUUUUGGCUGACAUUAUUGGGAAAUGCAUCUGUUGCAAGAGCUCAGGUCAUGACUCGGUAAAUGAGACUCAGCUUAAGCUCAUGACGGCCAUGGUUCAUGGUACACGACUCAACUAUGGGGUUGUAUUGCUCGAGUGGAUCGGCAAGUGGAUCGUCAACUCGAAGAAAUCAAAGAGCACUCCGAAGAUGCUGUAUGGCAGAUUCAUAAGCAUCAUUCUGCAAUCUGCACUGGGUGACAAAAUUGGGGAUGAUGAAGGAGAAGCCAUCAAUCCUAAUCGAAGAAUGACCCAGCAGUUGUUUAAGAACUGGGAAAGGAAUCCUGCUGAGUAUGUUCGAAUGAUGACAGAGUCCAGUGGGAGAACUGGGGAACUAAAGGAGGCAGGCUUUCCAGGAGACAUGUAUGUUGUCAAGGAAGUUAAAAAAGAAGAAAAAGCAGACAAGGGAGAACCCUCUGCUCUUGCCAGAAAAAGCAAGGGCAAGAGAAAGCUAAGGGCGAGACAAAUCGAAGAGCCUCAAGGAUCUACAACUGACAUUCCUGUAGAGUCCUCUGAUAUAGAGACUCUAAGGAGGAUAAGAAAGAAGCAACAGCAAGAAGAAGCUGAAGAGGAUCAAGCCACCAUAUCACAUAUCCUAAAGAAGAAUAAAACUGGUCAUAAGUCCAAAAGACCAACAGUUUCUUCUAUUGUAGAGUCUCUGAUGUUCUCUGAAACCAGGUCAAGUGUGGCAGAAAUGGAAGAAGCUGCUUCAAGAAUAGUGCAUGUUCAACAUGACAAAGCUAAGACUCAAGAGAGUCCAGAAGUUGUGGCUAAACCCAGCAAAGCAAAAAGAAAGCUGGUCAAGAAGUAUAUUCUUAAGAAUGAAAAGGUGCUGAAAAAUGAAGCCAAGAGUGUGGCUGCAAAAGAGGAACAACUCCAAGCAAAUAAAGAGGACAGUGCUCCAGCUGAGGGGGAGAUUCCAGAAAUUCUCAUGAUUGAGUACACACCGGCUGAGGGGGAGAAGUCUACAGCUCAAAAAGGUGUUCCAGCUGAUGGGGAGUUUUUGAUCUCUCAAGAAGAUGUUCAUGCUAAGGGGGAGCCUCUUGAUAUCCCAAUGGCAGAAGAAGAGGUUCCUGCCCAAGAUAAAGAUGAAUCAAUGCCAAAAUUUCCAGAGACCAUUGAGAUAAUGGAAUCUUCAGAAGAGACCAAAGAAGAGGAAGAAAAUGAUAAUGAUGAGCUUAAAAUCACUGGUGUAGGGAAAGAUGGAUUUAGGAGCUAUAUGUACACUCAACUAUUUUCCUACCUACCCAUGAUGGCAUACCAUCAAGCUCAAAUCUUGAACUCAUGGGAUCACAUGUUCUGGAGCUUCAAGGAAUAUCCAGCAAUCUCAGUUCUGGCUAAUGGAUUUCCAGGGAAAGUCAUCUUUGCCAAGAAGCUGCUUACCAACCAUUCCUCAUCCAAGGAUAAACUUGAGGUAUUGACUAUUCAUGAUCUCUUUAAAGUUAAUCACUUGUCAUCAUCUUCAUUCAGUCAAUUCUAUGAAUUUCCUCGAUGGAUGGAAGUGAUUCUUCACCCACUCAAUCAGUUUCCAGUUACAGAAUCUCAAAAUUCAGUAACUGAAGAACAAAAAGAAGUCAACCCUACCCUGCUUCCAUAAAUCACCAACUCUACGAUUCAAGACUCCAGCCACAUCGUAGAAUCCAACAUUGAAAUCGUAGAGUCACCUAUCUCAGACAUCCAAACCCAAGCCCCUCUAGCUGAUAUACCAUCCUCCUCAUCACAUGAUUACUUCAGUCUUGAUCUCGCUCUUUACAAUUUGCAAGAUCAAUCUCAACCGAGAACCCCUCAAAUGAACAAUCCUCAAGCAAAUGAUACUCUCCCAAGCCUGCCUACCAAGGAUGACUUGAAAGACACCUCUGAGAAAAUGGUCAAGUCUAUAGAAGCAAGUUUGGAAACUCACUCUGUAAAUAUCAAUAUCCAGCUGAAUCAAAUGAUCACAGCUGUAAAUAAUUUCCCUAGCACUAUGAAUACUGAGCUUACAAAGAGGCUAAGAGAAAUUAUCAAAGAAAUUCUGAAGAGUAUGUCGGACAGAGAUGAGAUCCACUUCCAAAGAGCUGCUAAGCAAAGAGAGGCUGUUCUCGAAAUGCAGAAACACCAAGACCUUCAACAUAAAAUUAUGCUGGACAACAUCCUCAACCUAAAGGCUUCUGUCUAUGACUUCCAGAAAUCUUAUGCAAAUCAGGAGAAACAUAACGAUAUGAUUCUGACAGUUCUCCAAAAUAAAGAAGCUAAAUCUGAAAAAUAGAUCAAGAAAAAUAGAGAGGACAUCGCUCAAACCCAAAGCCAACUGAACGAUCUUGUCCAAGGAGUUAAUCGACUGUCUGCAGAUAUUCGAACCCUUGAUGCUGACAUAAAGGGGGAGAAUAAAAGGAAAGGAGAUCAAGGAGGUCAGGGAGGUCAUGGAACUCAAGAAAGGGGAAGUCGACAAUUUCAUGCUCAAGCAUCACGAAGUCCCCCUGCAAGACAAUUCCACAGUCAAAAUCAACGAUCUGAUCAACAGGGAAUUGUAAUGGCUAUACCAUUAAGCCGUCAGGAGUCAACUCCCAGCUCACAAGAUGUGUCUACUGUACGCAUAAGAAUGCCCAUUGGAGAUCCUGCAUUCAUGCACAGACAUGAGGAGAAUCCAAUACUAAGUCUAAGCGAGCUAGAAGAGUUAGCCAGAAACGAGGAAACUCAAAGAAAAAGAAGGGCUGAGGAGUACGCCAACCCACCUCCACUAAAGAGGUCAAGGAAACAGAGAUAAGUUGAAACUUAAAUUUCCUAUUGAUGUAAUGCUGAAUUGUAAUAUCUUCUGAUCAUCAAUAAAUUCAUGCUUAUUCUCUAGAAAUUUCAGCUGCUCACUGAAAUACUAAGUCAUGUUUAAAUUCCUUGCAAAUGCAUCUAGUCACUAAUAAUCAUGACAAUAAAUCUCCUUGGUUAUGUCAACAUCAAAUAGGGGGAGAUUGUUGGGAGAAUGCAUAUUAUGAUUUAAUGUUUUAAUGUAUAUGUUCAUGAUUAUUUGUAAGGUCCUUAAAUGAAUAUAUGUACAAGGACUUAGUGAUAGAUCAAAGUUGUUAGGUUGAUCGAAGCUUUCAACGUGUACCAUUUUGAUAAAGAAUGUAUAGAUAGAAAGAUCAAAACUGUUAGGUUGAUCUUAAGAUGUAAUAGAUUAGUCUUAAAGAAAUUGUAGUACAUCCAUCUGAUCAACAUUGCAGGAGUCAAGGCAGAAAAUGUAGAGCCUGAAGAUCAUAGUGUGCCUGCCUUGAAGGGGACUCUUCAGAAAUCGUAGAGUGGUCCCAACGUUUGCCGAGCCAACUCCACGAUCGCAGUAUGCUGAAGGAAACAUGAAGUUUUACAAGUCAACGAUCGUAGUGUGCUCUCGGGAACGUAGAGUCAACAACACGAGCAAGAGAAGAUCGUAGUGUGCGAAGGUUUAAGGGAAAUCGUAGUGCUCUCGAACUGAUAACUUCGUAGUAUGCAAAGAUGUCAAAGACACUAUGAUCUAAAUCAUAGAACACCACGAUCCAAAUCGUAGAGCAUCAUCUGUCUCAUGUCAGAAAACGUCGAGCCUCAUGAUCUGUGUUUUCAAUAAGUGAGGAAUGGAUCCCAGAUGCUGCAGUGCUCAUCAGUCCCAGAAUAUAUGAAAUAUCCUUAGUAUGCAACAAAGAAGCGUAUUGAAGAAGCUAAGGAUAGUACCAUGGGUAAGAGGGACAAAACACCUUUUCAGGUGGUAGGUGAGAAAGCAGCCUGCAGUGUCAGUGGGCCAGAAUGCAGAAUUCAGAAGAUGUGCAGAAAUGUCUCCAUCACAGUACAGAAAGUUCAGAUGCAUUUAAUGCCACAACGGAUGGAUCCAACGGAUAGUUUUCAACAUCACAUAUAUAUACAGAUCAGACAGAUGAGAGAGAAAAUAAGCAAGCAUUAAACAAACAACGUGAACAUCUCUCUCAAGUUCAACUCUACGAUCUGAGAUAUUGCAAAGCUUGUUCAGCUACUCAGUUCUUUAGAACAAGUUCUUACACAACGACUGAAUAGCAACCAUCAAGAACUCAACAACUAUCAAUCAACUGAAGAAGAGUACCAAGUCUGCUGGACUUGAAGAGUUCGUAGUGAACUGUAAGAAAGCCAAGUCUGCUGGACUUGAAGAGUUCAAGAGUGAACUAGAGAAGUUCCUAGACUGCUGGUCUAGAAGGAAUCUGUGUGAUUUAGAAGAUUGUAAAAGACAUCCUUAGUGGAUAUCCUACUCGUUGAGUAGAAGAGUGGACUAGGAGCUUUGAGUGCUCUGAACCACUUAAAAAUAACUAUGUCGUUUACAUUCAUGUUAUAUCUGCUAUAACUGCCUUACUCGCUCAUAACUCCAUUGCUUGGUAAAGAAGAUUAAAACAAAUACUAAUUCCGCUAAGUUUUAAUCAUUAUCUAAGAACAAGUUUAAAAAGGAAAGAUUUUCAAAUAUCUAUUCAACCCCCCCCCCCCCUUCUAGAUAACUUGUGCCUACUAGGAACAAACAACUUACAAUAUUUUGCGCGAUCAUCUCACCAAAGGCGCGACUCACGCGCAGGGGGCAAAUGCUUACUCGUAGAUUGGUAGAUGACAUAGACGUCCUUCAGUAAAGGUGUAUUCCCCCAAGCUGUGAUGAAUAAAGAAUGUCAUGUUGGAUACGAAUGACAUAUAGAGGAGCACCAUGGUCCUGGGUGGAUACGAAUGUCCCUGCAUAGCUUGAUGUACUAAAGAAUGUCAUCUCUUUCUUCAGUAUACCCACAUAGUCAACAUUCCCAAGUACCUCGUCGAUCCAAUGAUGCCAUUCCUGAAGGAGACUAGAUGAAUCAGACAAGAAGUGAAGGGAACUGAAAGGGUACUCUUGUUUCUCUAUGCAUAGACGGGGAAUGCGAUCGGAAUGGGGAAGGUCAUCCCAACCUCCACAAGUCACUGCAUAUAGGAACAAGCAUUCCCUAUCUGGCAGAAGAAGAAUUGUACGAUCAUAAGUCUGGACUUGCUCCCAAACGACGUCGAAAAGACCAAAGGAGGGGAGCCCUUCCCCAAUCAUUGAGAAACGGGGCCUCUUUAGUUGUUCCCAAGUCUGAAGAAUGUUGGCCUGCAAGAAAAAAGAAUUCAGCAUAAGUGAUCUAAAGAGCAAGGAAAGGAGGCAUUUGAACUUGAAGUGCUCACUGUGGCAAAAAGGAAAUUCAGCAAAAGGGCGCGGCCAUGUUGGCUUCGGCCACCUAAGGGUUGUUCCUUUCAUUUCUUGAAAAAAAGGUCAUGUUAGCUUCGGCCCCUUAGGGCUCGGCCAUGUUGGCUUCGGUCACCUCGGGGUUGUUCUUUUCAUUUCUUAAAAAAAGAAAAAAAAGGCCAUGUUGGCUUUAGCCACCUAGGGCGCGACCAUGUUGACUUCGGCCCCCUAGGACGCGACCAUGUUGGCUUCAGCCCCAUAGGGCGCGGCCAUGUUAGGUUCAGCCACCUAGGGGUUGUUCCUUUCAUUUCCUUAAAAAAAAAAAAAAAAGCUAUGUUGGCUUCGGCCCCUUAGGGUUCGACCAUGUUGGCUUCGGCUACCUAGGGGUUGUUCUUUUCAUUUUUUUUUUUAAAAAAAAGAUGCCAUGUUGGCUCCGGCCCCCUAGGGCGCGACCAUGUUGGCUUCAGCCCCCUAGGACGAGGCCAUGUUGGGCGCGACCAUGUUGGCUUUGGCUACCUAGGGGUUGUUCCCCUUCAUACCUCCUAGGUCCUGUUACUCCACAAAUCAACUGCCUGGAACAAAUCCUCUUUCGCCGCAAAAAAUUAUAACCUUCCUCUGAUGAAUUCCGAGGGAAAAAACGAAGAUAUGAUCAAGGUAAUGGGGCUCGGAAAACAGAAGAAAGGCUACAAUUACCUGAAUAUAUAUAUAUAUAUAUAUAUAUAUAUGAAACAAUUAUGAGGAGUUCAAAAAAUCAAAGGUCUUCCAAUUCAAGGAGCAGUAUAAUUUUUGUAACCUCACGCAAAUAUUCUUGAUCCUUGAUCCACGUCGUGCGUGAGAAAGGUUCGGGAGUGGAGGCUUAUAAUUAAUGUGGCAAUUUAUAUAAGUUGCAUAUAUAUCACAAGAAGUUUACAAGCCCAACUAUUGGAUAAUUGCAUGCAAGCAGCACUUGGCCUAAUCAUGUAUACAUAUGAAGGAGUUAAACUUUGUUGGCUAGUAGGGGAGUAGCAUGUACAACUUCAAUAGGGGUCCCUUCUUAUUGCAAAUAACAUCCAAGUAAUGCGACGCACAGAACUGCCCACUGUAAUUUGGAUGCAAGAUAUUCGGCCGCGGAUUAUGAAUAUCGACUUCUUACUUCUCCAAAAUAAGAUAAGUAAAGAUUAUAUUUAUUUAUUUUGAAAAAUAAUAAUAAUAAUAAUAAUAAAAUAAAAUAAGAUUUUAUUUUAUUUCCUAGAAAAAAAUAAGAUUUGAUUUUUAUUUCCAAAAUAAAAGAAGAUUUAAUUUCCAAAACAAAAUUAAGAUUUGAUUUUAUAAAAUUAAGAUUUGAUUUUAUUUCCAAAAUAAAAUUAGUAUUUGAUUUGAUAAAAAGGAAAGUUUUGGUGUACCAAAAUAAAGAUUUUUUAUUUGGUGAUAUUUGAUUAUCUUUCCUGUUUUAAUUUUCAAAAAAAAAUAAGGAAACAAAUCUUGGGCGAGUUAUGGAAAUAUUAUUGGAGGAUUUCCCAAUAUGUCCAAGGAAGAGUCCUGCUAGGUUUUGCCUCUCUAUGAUUUAACCCUAAGGGUUUGGCUCCCUAGGGGUUCCCUCUACUAGGACCAUCGUUUUUCAAGACCUGUAAAGUGAAGUCCCGUAAAAUCGUCCAAAGGCUUGAAGUAUUCUUGCACGAUCGUCUAUUUGGGAAUGCGACUCUCGCGCAGGGGGCAAAUGUGGGCCCAAGUGUAAAAUUAGGGUUCAAAUGACCUAAUUGAAUUAAAUGCACAAUUAGGGUUCCACGACCUCAUUAAAUGUGCAAAUUAAGAUUCACAUAACCUAAUCAAAUGAAGACCCGAGAGAAGCCUCCACGUGUCCUGAGGCAAAAGACUCGUGGAGGCGACUCGUUUUGGGAAUUGAUUGAGGGAUUGGAUUUGUGGCUAGAAUGACAGGGCAAUAUGGGCAUUAUUCUAGUGACUAAAGGGUAUUUCUGUAAUUUUCCUGAAAACAUGUGCCUAACAUGUGACUACUUAAUUCCAGGAAACUCUAUAAAUACCCCUUCCAAUCUAGGAAGGGGAAGGACUCUUUUUGGUGACUUAAGGCUUGGAUAUUCCACCUAAAAACACUAAAAGGGUUUGGGACCUCUCUUCAGACGCAGGACUUGGACUCUUAGAAGAUCAAAGGACCUGAACAUUCUCUCUCAACACUCAGGAAGACUCUUUGAAUCCCAAUAACCCUAAUAAGGUUUCCGGAUUCUAAGAGUGGAAGGACUUAAGGAGAAGGCUUUUGGAAUCCCAAUAACCCUAAUAAGGUUUUCGGAUUCUAGGAGUUUUGUUUUUUUUUAAAACAACUAAAAAAAAGUUAAAUAUUUUAUGGAACUGGAAUUUUUUCCGUAAUACAGUGUUUUGGGAGUUUUGUUUCUGUAUAGACUGUUUUGUUAUAUGUAUCCAAAUCACGCCCAAAACACUGUAUUACGGAAAAAUUCCAGUUCCAUAAAAUAUUAAACUUUUUUUUUAGUUGUUUUAAAAAAAAGGAAAAAAAAGUCCGCAUUUUAAGAAAAUGCGGGAGUCCGGAUAGGAACCGGACCAUAUAUAUAUAUAUAUAUAUAUAUAUAUAUAUAUAUAUAUAUAUAUAUAUAUAUAAGGGAAUUANNNNNNNNNNNNNNNNNNNNNNNNNNNNNNNNNNNNNNNNNNNNNNNNNNNNNNNNNNNNNNNNNNNNNNNNNNNNNNNNNNNNNNNNNNNNNNNNNNNNUGCACUUCACAUGUUUGAUUAAAUUACUCUUAGAGGCUGUGAAGUUUUAAAAGUGAGAACUUGAUGUUAUUAUAAGCAAGAAAGCUUAUGUUUAUAAAAUAUAUGUGUCUCAAGUGGCUUAACUAAAUUAGAAAUGGUUUAGAAGUAAGUUUAAGUGAAUUGAGUAAUUUUGGUUUGGUUAGAAAACUUAUGUGGCUGAGCAGUUUUGAGCCAAUAUAGAACCUGUGUGAAAUAUUUAUUUGGAGUAAUUUAUAUUUUUUUAAAAUAGUAUGUCAUACCUUCUAUAACAUGUUAAAAGUUGGUUCCAAUUGGAUGUGUAUAUGUUAAGUAAGAAAAUUGUAAAGUGGCUACGAAAAAUGCGAAAUUUGGGAAUUCUACACUUUAUUUUUGGGAUCCACGGAACAAAGUAUUUUAAAAAUGAAUAGGAGCUUUUCAUUAGACUGGUAAGAACCUGAAUGAGGUAAUUGUCAACAAGGUAACUUUGUCAUCAAAUCCGCUAGUAAGUUCUGGCAAUCGUAUUUUCUUACAUGUCAUGUUUAGGGUAUGGGGUGGUUCUGAAAAUUCGCCUGUAGCUAUCUUCUUGAAAACGAUAUGAUCAGCUUUUUCUGAGAAAGCAACUCCAUCCCAACUUAUUCGUUUAGAAGGAUCUUUACAUGGUCCCACAACUAUUUCGGUUCCAUUUAUGGUAGUUGUUUGUCCACAAAAUCCAGUUUCUGCCCAAUUAUAUUUUCCUCCUAAACCACAACAAGCUAGAAGAGGAAAUUUGAAUCCUGCAUAUUUAUAAAUUUCAUUAAAAAAUUAUCAUACAAAUGUAUAUAUAGAACGAGUAUUAUUGACAUUAAUGAACUUCUACAACUUUCUAACAUGUUGAUGAUUAUUAUAUUAAGGCAUAACAAUUAUUAUUUUACUUGAAUGUGUUUGAGUGAAAUAAAUUAUUCUAUUGAGAAUUUCUUUAAUAUAUGAUUAAGAUAUAUUCUUGUGGUAUUAAUUACUCGACUUGGAUUAGAGUAAGAUGGAGCACGACAUACCAUAUUUUUUGGGUUCCUUGUAGAGAUCAUACUUUGGAGUAAAAACAUCUACAUAUGUGAACGCAGCCAGGGGGAGGUCUUUUCGAAGUUGAUCAACAACCUCUUUCAACUUGGAAUUGAAAUAUUGAGCUAAAUCAUUAUGAGGUAUUGCGCAACCUGAACUAUCUAUUUGGUCUUCUGGAACUGGUAACAAUGUCAAAAUAUAAGGAAGGCAACCAAGGGGUCCAGUGUUUUGGAUCCAAAACGAUCUACCUCCCAAAUCGUAUAGUUUCUGCAAGAAUCAAUAUUCAGUAAAGGGAAUUAGUAUUCGUGUUAAGAGAAUUUAUAAGUUAAUUACAUGCUACCUGAAAAGAUAUAUAAAUUAAGCAAGGCUUAUAUACCUUCACAUUCAAUGAGAGGCUGUUAACAGUAGGUGGUAUAAUUAUUUUAAUUUCGUCAUAGGUCAUGUUAGUCAACAAUCCUUGGACGAGGUCAUUUUGGCCAAUAUCAAUAGUAUACAAUGCUUUGGAAAAAUAUUCCUUCUUGGGCAGCAAAUUCUUGAACACCCCUCCUAAAAUAACAACCAAAAUUUUUUACAUCUAUAAAAGUACAAGAUAAAAAGUUAUAUGAGCAGGAAAUUAAUUCAUAUUUAAUUAAAAAAAAAUAUACCUUUUUCCCUGAUCGUCUGUGAUCUAUUCACGAAUUGUGUGAAUUGUGAAAUUUGAAUGUCAAGAUAAAUAGGACUAAAUGCACGCGGUUGUUGGGCCACCGGAAGAAUUAACUUGGGCGGUGCAAUUGUAGCCAAUAGUUGGGCAAAAUUAACACCAUAAGAGAAGUUGGCACCCAAGGAAUCAAGAUAAGGGUGGAGGAAUGGUUUACCUAAACUUGAAGCUACAACAUUAAAAUUUAGUCAUUAGGUUUGUAAGUAAUGUAGUAACUAGAAAGCGAUUGAAUUUUGUAGGAUUUGAAUUCCAUAACUGUUAAAAUUGGACAGUUUGUUACUUUGUUUGGACAGUUCUAUAAUAACAAAUAGCAUUUAUAUAUAUAGAUGAGAGUAGCAAAUAUAUAAUACUUGUUUAACAAAUAUCAUCUAUAAUGCAAGUAUGUGCUAUGUCAAUGCAACCGAUUCUAUACAUAGACGGUCUAAAUGGACUGCUCAAUUCAAAUUGUCUAGAAUUAGGAUCGGAAAAUAUUAACCUAUAAAGUCGAUUAUGAUACGCCCAUUAGAGGCUCUUCCUGCUGGCAUUUUAAAGUAGGUUUGUCCAUAAAAUGGAGGUGUCCCUGCAGUGAAGGCAGCAGUAAACCCACCGGUGUCCGAAUUCCCGUCACCAAAGGUGAAGAUAGCUGGAAAAUCACAAGUGUGCAAUGCCAAAACAGGAGAGAGAAAAAGAAUGCAAACCAAGGAGAGAGAGAAUGCAGUUCUGCUCGUGCUUAGGGACUUCAUGUUAACUGUGUUGUGUUGUUUUGAUAUUGAAGCCAAGGCAUGUGAGUCUCAUUUAUGUAGUAGUUUGUGAAUAUAUUUUUAAUUCCGGUUAGAAUUUGUCAUGCACAGAAAGUCAAAAAUUAUAUCACAAGAUAAAGCCUUGCGUAUUGUACUAAUUUCUGUAUUAAAAAGUAUGUUUAAUUUUAGGAUCAAUGGACUCCAUGUCUUUUAUCCCUAUCUUUUACAUUACUAAAAAGUAUGUUAACCACACUCAAAGAAAUCUAAAAUUGCUUAAAAUAUAUGACAGGAUAAUUUAGCCACAGGAGAACCAAAAAUAGAAAGAUUUAGGUUCGGGGUCGAGAAAUAGUUCAAAAGUAGAAAGUGAUCCAAUUCUGAUGUUCAUCUAUUUUUUGUAAUAAUAAAAUUUUAAUUAAACUCAAAUAGUUAUACUUACAAAAUUUAAUAAAAAAAUUUAUUGUUAUCAAUAAUAUGAAUUUUAAUGAGCACUAACUAAAUUAAAAAAUGUAUAAGAAUAAGAUACAUUGAUAAGUAGAUAAUUAUGAUAGUAAGAAUGUGGUAAGUUGGUUUCCAUUCCAAAGUUUUAGGGUUGUAGGAUCAUUCCUAAGUUUUAGGAUUGAGAGACUAUUUUGUGCUAUUUAUUAUAUAUAAAAUUUAUUUAGAGUUAGGAUUUAUUGUUAAAUUUUAGGGUUGAUGAGUCACCCCUAAAUUUAGGGUUGAACGAAGAUUUUUUUUUAUUUAUUAUAUAAACUUUUUUCAAGAUCUCAGAAGGGUUUUGCAAACUGAGUCUGCAUUCCUGUUCUUAAGUUGUCAUCCGCAUGAUUUAGUAAUUGGGGCCUUGCUAAAAUAAAUUUAUGUAUAUAGUAAAUAUUAACGUAUAUAAUAUGAGAAAAUUUAUUAGAAUUUAAGAACGAAUAAUAUUGUAAUCAUACAAAUAUUAUAUGAAAGCUAGAAAAGUAAGAACACGCCAUAUACUCAAGUUCAUCAAUUUGGCUAAUUUUGUUUGUCUGAUGUAUUUAUUAGAUGUCUCACACACUUUACCGAUGGUGUAUUCUAUAAAAACUUUUAAAGACUUAAAGUUUUGUUGUAUUCAAUCAAGACAUUUAAAGAGCUUAUAAAAGUUUACUGAUAUAUAAUCACAACUUUUGUAAUGUCUUUAAAAGUUAGGUGGUAUUGACUUGAGACUUUUACAAAGUCUAUAAAAAUAUUUGGUAUUCAAAAAGUCUUCAGAUUUCGAUCAAAUCGUAGAGUUUGACAGACAUUAAAAGAAGAGAUACUCAUAUCCAAAGUCUAAUCACAUCUUUAAAGAUUUCCAAAGACUUCCAAAUAUUUAAGAAAGGGAGAAGAUGAACAUAGGAGAAAGAGAGAUGAGAAUAUGAGAUCAAACAAAGAUAAAACAAAGGCCUAUUUAUAGCAGGUGAGGAGAUAGAGAAAGAAGGAGGGGUUAAAAAGAGAGAUUGCGUUAAGGGUUCCAAAUAGAAUCAAGGUUAUAAAUGGAGAUAACAAAUAUUUUAAUAUCAUUUUAUAUUUCUUCUCUCCUAUUAAAAAAACUCAUUUAUUACAUUUGCAAGUAUUAAGGAGGUAUUUUGUUUUAUGUUUAUUUUUAAAAGUAAUAAAUUUGUUAAUUUUGUUAUUUGUUAAAAAUUAUAAAUUGUUAGUUUAGUAAUAAUGACGUGAUAGGAAAACGACAAUGAACAAUUUUAAAAUCAAGAUUGUUAUUUUAUAUUAUUGUUAGUAAAAAAAUGAAUUUUUUUAUGAAAUAUAAACAUUAUGAAAUAAGACAUUUUCUUGUAAUAGACUGGGUAUUAUCUAAUAAUUCAACUUCAACAAUGCCUUUUAUUUCAAAUUAGAUUGUGGCAUGGUCAAAAUAUUUUAGACUAAAAGAUAUUUUGCACCACAAAUUUGUAAUUCUAUGUAUGUGCACACCUAGAGGGGGGUGAAUAGGUGUUUAAGCUUAAAGUAAUAGAGAGUGAAAACUUUUUAAAAUUUUCUGCUACAAGUAUAAUUCAGACAGCUACACCUGUCUGCUUCAGUGUCUGCUUUAGCUUAUGUUCUUCGUUUCUGAUUAUCAGACAGCUAGACCUGUCUGCUUUAGUAUCUGGAUAGUGGCGUGAAUAACAAAAAAGUGCAGAACGUGAACGACAGUUAAAGAGAUAAACAGAAGUAAAAAUCACACCAAGAUUUUUACGUGAUUCAGCCCCUAUCCUCUAAUCUAGUGGCCUAAUCCACGUCCAAUCCCAACUAGGAUUGGAGACUCUUUUUAUUAAACUUAAUAUUCAAUUAAAUACAAUAAAAAGAACUCCCUGUUACAAAAAAGCUUCAAUUCUAAUGUUGGACACCAAUGCCCCCUUUGCACCUCUACAACUUGUACACCUCUACACCUGUUCUCACCUCUGAGACCUUUGAAGCUUCCUUUGAACAGACCCACUAAACUCUAGAAACUCUAGACCACCAAAGCUAACAGUUUUAUUUUCAGAUUAUAAUGAUGGUGAUUCCAAUGGAAUAUCAACUUUCUAGCCUAAGAAUAACAAGACAUUGAUUGCUAGAAAGACUAUUAGAAAGCUAUAAGAAUUAAGAAGAAUGAGUUGCUGCUUUCCAAUUGUUGAGCUCCUUCAUAACCGAGCAUGAUGAAGCUUUAUAUAACAUGAAGGCCAACGGCUAUAUUUGUUAGCAAGAAAUCAGAUAAUUUAAAUCCCAUAAUUAAAGCUACAAUAUUGACCAACGGUUAUGAACAAGAGAUAGAAUAAGAAACUCAUAUUAAAGUUGGUAUAUCCCAUGAUAUUAGCAAUUAAAGAGUCCAACAGAUUUGGUAAAUCAAGGAUAUAAUAAGAGUCCAAAUAAGUUGUCAUACAAGAUAAGUCCAGUUGGAUUCUAUAAAGAAUCCCACAAUAUUAGGAGUCAUAAAACUAUAUAUAUCCAAACUUUAUUAAAGGAGAUUGAUAUGAUUUGUUAAAGAUUUGUUACUACCUGUUUCCUUACUAAAUGGACAUUUUAAAACCAAAACAGAUUUCUUAGAAAACCAACAUUCCUUAAUGAACUUCAAUUCAAAUCUUCCUUAAUAAGCUCCAAUUCAAAUCUUCCUUAAUAAUAUUAUAAACCCAUGCAUAUUAAUUAUAAUAUUAUAAACCAUAAUCCAUGCAUAUUUAAUAAUAUAAUAACAAACCAUAAACCAUGCACACGUCUAAUAUCCUUAAAUUAGUCAUCAUUCAAAACAUCAUAAAAUCAAAAACUAACAAAAUUUUACACACAUGUUGACAUUUGCACCCCAAACUGAAAAAUGUGUCUAAAUACACCCUAAAAUUCAAUUAACGUAACGAAUUAAAGGCAGUUAACCGGUCAAAAGUGACCGGCUAAGGUGCACAUGUGUGGAUUUGGAGGGGUGUUUAAGUAUUUUCCAUAUCUUCUUCUACUUACCGAGCUGGAACAAGCUACUAAAGCUCAAAUUGAAUCAGUCGCAUACAUGCAGCUCGAUUAGAUUGUAAAUCUAGGAAAUUCGAUCAAGAAAAUUAGGAAAAAUUAGAGCUUGUGGAUUGAAAUUGUUGGUGCAUAAAGAAAUCAGUGAUGAAGACGACUUGGAAAAGCUCAAACAUGCCGGUAGAAGAUUCCUUGGUUGUCCAGAUUGAUGUGAAGAUGGGCACGGUGGUUGUAGUUUCUUCGCUUGGGUUGAUCCUCUAAUGUGUGAGCGUUCAAGGGUAGUAAUACCUGAAUUAAUUAGAAGAUUAGAGAAUUUGGAUGUUGAAAUCAAAGCUCUGAAAGAUGAACUGAAGGAGUGCAAAAUUAGGGCAAUGAUUGCAAAGGGUCUGUUGAUUGCAACUUGGAUUGUGAUUUUUUAUUUCUUGUUAAUCUCAAUAAAUGAUGAAAUUCCCCACAAGUAAAUUUCUAGGCUAUGUAUGUAUUGGUAGUAGUCUGACUAAAUAUGGUAGCUUUUGUGGGCAAUUACUAGGAAUGGAAUUUAUGGGAUUGUAAUUUAUGGCAAUAUUGUUUGUUUCUCUAAAUAUUAUUUUGAAUAGUAAAGUGUUGAUUUGAUAUAAUGUUAUAGUUAUGGGUGAUAUGUGCAAAUUUUACAAAGAAAAAGUUGUCAUAAAUAUUCGUUUUAUCAUGGAAUAUUCUUUUUGUCGGGAAAUAUUCAUACGACGGAGCAAUCUUUGGUGGGCCCCAUAACGAAAUAACUGUCGGAUAAAGAAACAAAAAAAAUAAGUUUUCUAAAAAUUGACGGCGGAACUUUUACUGUCAAACUGUUGAAAUUCCCGGUGAAAAAAGUACUGUAAUACGCGUUGUUCCAUAGUGGUACGCAGUAUUGCACAGUAGCACAUGGCAUUGCACAAUUUAUCUGAUUAUUGAUUCUUACGUAAAAAGUCACUCAGUAUUCAAUAAUUGCCACAGUAGUUGCUACAUAGUAUCUCAUAUUAUUGAUUCAAUAAUUGUUACAGUAGCAUCUGCAUGCACAAUAUUUUAUAUUAUUAAAUCCAUAAUUGACAAGAUACAGUUACUCAUAUUAUUAUUAACAUUAUUGACAAUGUCUAGAAAGUUUUGUCGAGAAAAAGAGUUAGGUUAUUUAAUUAUGCGCCAAUAAGGAGAAAUUCUUAUCGGAAAGCCCCCUCUUUCCUAGGAACGAUUUGGUUGUUAAUAUUGUGAGUUAUAAUAUUAAUGAUGAAUAAUUAUUGAAAGAUUAAAAAUGUGUUGAUUGAAGAGAAGUGAAUUAUGGUAAAUAUUUAUUCAAUUUUUGAUAUAAAUAGAGGGGUUUGUCAUGAAACAUUUGUCGUAAGUUUGGCUUAUUUUAUGGAACCCAUAAGUCAUCAUCUAAGAGUCAUUUUUGCCAAUAGUACUUGCCUUUAUCAGAAGUCAAAUCACAUGCCUUUUCACAUUACAGGUGUCAAACCGCUUACCUUUUCACAUUACAGGCGUCAAACCACUUGUCUUUUCACAUUACCAGGCGUCAAGCCACUUGCUUCUUCACAUUGCAAGGGACAAACUAGAAUUCUUCUAUAAAUAGAAGCUCAUUUCUUCCUUCAUUCUCACCAAUUCACUAAAGCUAUAGAGAGAGAAUAUAUAAAAAGAGAAUAAGAGAGAAAGAAGAAGAGUAUUCGAGAAGCAAGCGCACACACCACCAACACAAAGUUCUGCUACUAAACUAGUGUUGUAUCUAGUCUUUUAUUAAGGUAAAUGAUGUUAUUUUUUUCAUACUCAUAAGGGUUGUCAUUCUAUUCCUUAUUAAUCUGUGGGAAUAACAUGUCUACGCGGACUACCGCAUUCCUAGUGAAUAACCCUUUGUAUUCAUUCUUUAUUAAAUUGUGGAAAUGAUUUGUCUACGCGGAUUACCGCAUGACGGGUGAAAAUCCAUUUGCAGUUUCGUAUAUUUUUUCAUACUCGUAUGAGAUAUCAUUUUUUUUGUACUCGUCAAGGGAUAUCGUUUUCUUUCAUAUUUUUCUCCAUUUAUGGUACAAAUUUAUUGUUUGUUUCCAUAACCUUAUUAUUAAAUGGUGAAAAUUCCUGAAAUUAGUAGAAUAUCCUUAAUAGUUUGCGCUUCAUCUAAUAUCAUUUCAUUGGAAUAUUGGUUUGAACUUUCUUAUUAAAUUUUAAUAUUUUUAUUCGGGGUACUAUUCACGGGGUACUAUUCAUUCAGGGUACUAUUCACGACAAAAUUAAUUUCUUUUCUAUCCAAAUUAUUUUUGAUACAUUAAUAUCAUUCUUGAAUUUUACUCCACAAUUAGUUAUCAUGUUGACAAUUUGGACAUUCUUGAACUCUGGAUAAAUUAAAUUAUAAAUCUCUAAUAUUUAUCAUUGAUCUCACUUGAUUGAUUCUUUAUAUCAUUGUCAUCAUCCUCAUGCUUAUAUUGUGCUAAAAGUCAUUUUUGGCCCGUAGUGCAAAGAUAGACUGUUGAUUGAUAUGAUUAUGAUCAAGAAUUGUGUAUUGGUAUAAUCAUGACCUUUUCAGUUACAGAUAAAUGUUUGUGGUGAAAGUACUCUUUGGUCCGUAGUGCAUAGAUGGACAGGUAUUUGGCAUGAUCAUAACCACUGGUGAUACAAACGAUUAUCUUUGGCCCGUACUGCAUAGAUAAUUCGUUGAGUGGAAAUAAUUAUUGAUUGGUGUUACAUACAAGGAUAAAAUAUUGAUGAUGGACUUUUAAAUCAUAGAAGAUAGUAGACAUCAUGCUCUACUUAACUCUUCUAAUGGAUUGCUAUUUUCGUUGUAGUUGUUGAUCUAAAACUUGUUGUCUAUUGUAUUCUAUUAGAUUUUUCAUUGUUGAGGACUAAGGAUAAUUUAUUUUACAUUAUCUUAGUCAUACUAUUCUUUAUUGGGCUAGUUGAGCUCACUCUUUUCCUUCAUUAUUAUCUUCAAGAAAUGAGAAUAUAGUUGGGACUAGUCGGAGAAUGGAGUGACGGUCUGAAAUAGUCACUAUAGCAGCCUUCAUUAUGAUGUAAAAUAGUGUGACAAUAAUUGUAAUGAAGACUUAAUUUGAGUGUGGAUAUUAUCGUAUUAUGUACGGUGCAAUAUUUGUAUUCAAACUUUCAGCUUAUGUGUUGUCGUAUUUUACACGGCAGUUGUAUAAAUGAAGUUUGUAUUUGGAUUUUGUACUAUAUAUUUUGGCGACUCGAAAUGGGUUGUGUGGACUUAUUUUGGGGGCAUCACAAUUUCGUUGAAUGACGAUGUUGUAAACCAAGAAUUAUUGAUGUUUUAUGUGUGAAUUGCUGCAAUUUUAUAACUUGUUUAUGAUAUAUGCUAUACAAUGGUUGGUGUGGAAUUUAUGAUACCUGGUGCAUUUUAUAGGCACCCUGAAUUAAUGCACCAACUAUAUUGCUAUAAUAGUAAGCCCUGAAUUAAUGCACAGACCAUACUGCAUCAUACACUACAAUUGUCUAACUGUUAUAAUAACCACACAAUGGUACAAAAUGUUAUAAUCAAAAUGCUCUAAAUAAAAAUAAUUCAAUAAAAAACCAAACUGUUAUAAACUUUGAGGAACUGCUAUUGCCAUUCAAUUAAGUAAUUAAUUCCCAGUAUAUGCCACAAAUCAGAGGCAAUUCAAAACAGUUGUCUUAACAGGCCUAUUAACAAAAUGCAUCAUACACUGCAAUUUACAAUCCUAGCCACACCUUCUUGGCCCUAGGCAACAUACAUACAUUGAUAAUUCAUAAGCUUAGGAGAAAUUAUUUACAUUAGGCCCCAAAAAAGACCCUAAACUGGAUAUAUACAUCAAUAAUUCAUUAGCUUAGUACCCCAAAAAAGAACAAAAAGAUUCAAAAAAUCUCAUGUCAACACUAUUUAUCUGCAGUAGGCCCUCCACUAGUUGAUUUGCUAAACUGUAUCUUCUUUCUUUUAGAUCUUGUUGGAGCUUCUAGGUCUCUUAGUGUUGUACAUUGUUUUCCCUUCUAUGUGUAUUCUUUGGGUUGUAAUAUAUCAUCUGAGUUAUUUUUUUUGCUACCCUCAUAAUGGAUUUCACCUUGUCACUUUGUAGAACUUCCUGCUUGCUCUUGCUCAACAGUCAUUCCACCAGACUGCAUUGUAGACUCAUGUGUUGCUGUCAUUGGUGGAGGUUGAGAAGCUUGAGUAUGAGCCUGAGAAGUCUUUUGAACCUUUAUAGCCCUCUUAGCCUUUGGAGGAAGUUGUGAUGAUUGACUUUGUGGAGCCUGUAAAGAUUGUAAAAUCACAUCUAUUUGCUUAUUCAGUUUCUAAAAACAGACAAACAGAAAUGCAUUAAACCCAAUAUAGGAUCUUGAAAAAGCACAUAAAUAAAAACACACACUUAACUUACUUGAGGACACCUUCUUGAAUUGUGACCACAUUCCUUCCAAAAUCCACAUUUCAAUGAUGUUCAUUUCCUCUUCAAACUUGUACCUUCUGGAUUUGAAUUUAGAAUAUCAUUACUUUUUUUCCUAACAACUUUAGGCCUGCCUACAAGAGUAUGUUUAACUGGUGGCAAAGGUGGCUCAAUCCCAGUAGGAUCCUACUUAAAUUUGUGCCUUAUACGCUCAAUGUUGUGACUAUAAACCUUUAGAUACAUGUCCUUGGUUAAACACUCAUGUACAUGUGUAUGGAUCAUGACCUAAUUUGUUAAUGCAUGACACAGCAUGAGCACAAGGUAUUCCAGACAAGUCUCACCUCCUACAAGUACAUGUUUUUUUCCCUAAAUCAACCACAAAUGAAUGACCCCCAGAAGUCAUAGUCACUGUAAAACUCCCACCACCACCUGACCACAAUGACAAUCCUCCCCCACACUCACUUUUCCAUUUUUCUACUUUUUUUUGCUAUUUUAGGGCACAAUACACCAUUAUACUUCAACAUCAUUUCCCUCCUUUUAACAAUCCUAUUUAUGCAAUAUAAUAUAAUUCCUUCUAAACACCCUAUUACUGGUUUCACUCUAGCCUUAAGAAUUUUGUUAUUAAAUACCUCACAAUGGUUAUUGACAUACAUGUCACUUUUGCAUGUGGUCUGAAAAUGAGACCUACUCCACUGACCAGGUGGCUUAGGAGCUAAUCAUUCAUAUGCACUCUUAUCUUCCUUUUUUAACACCUCCAUUGCCUUUUGAAAGACAUAAGGGUUUGUAGCUUUGACAGCAUUACAAACCAAUUUUCUUAAACUAGAGCCUGGGACCACAACUUAUAAAGCAUUAAUCAAACCCUGGAGACAAAAAGGUAAUUUAGCUGAAAGAUACAAUAAAUGUAAUUAUUGAUGGAAUAAAAUAUAUAUAAAUGGAGAGAUGUUUAUACCUUUUGUUUAUCUGAAAUGAAUGUCCAACCUCCAUCAUUUAUAAUCCCAAGAUCUUCCACAAGUAAGUUCAUAAACCACACCCAAGACUGAGUGCUCUCAGAUUCAAUAAUGGCCCAAGCAACUGGCCACAUCCCAUUGUUAGGGUCAACACCAACUAUAGUUAAUAACUGACCCACAUAUGGUCUUUUGAGAAAACAACCAUCAAGCCCCACCAGUGGUCUACACCCCAAUUUAAAUCCUUUUUUUUAGUGGUUACAGACAUACAUAAAAUCUCAAAAAUAUGCCUAAGUCUUGUCCUUGCUCUCUUCAAGACACAAGUACUCCCAGGUAUGACUCUUCUAAUUAUCUCUGCAGCAUAGUCCAAAACCAUUUCAUACUCCUUCUCAACACUCCCUUCAAUAUUUUUUAUUGUUCUUUUAUUAGCUCUGUAUGCUAGGUUCCUUGAUACCCCAAUAUCCAAAUCUUUAACUACUUUAGUAUGAAACUGAUUUAAUCCCCAUGUUGGAUUCAUCCAAAGAUCAUCUUCAUAUUUUUUGGCAAUCUAUGCUGCAUUUGUACAAUAAUUAUCCCACUCUUUGCAACAAGGAUGCACUUUUUGUAACCUAGUGAUUUUAAAUUUGAGCUCUCUGUGCACCUUUGCAGCAUAGAAGUACCAUGUACAUGGCUCCACACACACCUUACUUGGAUCUUAUUUGACAGGUUCUUCUUGAAAUGCACCUUCCUUCCAUGUUUGAUGUCAUGGUUUCUGAUUAUUGCCUUAACUUCAGUGACAUUCGUAAAUGUCAUUCCCGACUCAAACUCAGGAUCCUCUAUGACACUUCCCUAAAUUCUGGAUACCCUUUAUGUUCUUGUUCAGGUGGUUCAGGGUCAAACUCAUCAACCUUAGGCAUCCUUUCUACAUCAGAGUCAUCAUAAUCAGAGGAUGAACAUCCUGGUUCAUGUGGUUCUUCUUGUGAAGUUUGGGUUUAUGCAGUUUGUUUUCCCUUCCCUUUGUUAGUGGAAAAUCUUUUUCCUUUUUCAGAACUUUUUCCUUUGCCUUUCUAUGUUAAAGUUGCACCCUUCCCUUCCCUUUGUUUUCCCUUCCCUUUGUUAGUUUCCCCAUCCUCAGUCCCCCUAUUCUGAUCACCCUCUGCCCCAUCCUCCGUCCCUUUAGUAUAAUUAACUUCUGCCCCAUCCUCAGUCCCCCCAGUCUGAUCACCCUCUACCCCCUCUCCAAAUUCAUCACUCUCAGUCCCCCAGUCUAAUCACCCUCAUCCCCCUCCCCAAUUUCAUCAUCCUUUUCAUCCUCAGUUGUUUCUCCCACAGAACUAUCCACAUAACUUUCAUCAGUUGAUUCUAUUUCAUCAUCCCCGGCCAAUUGAUAUCAAAUCUCUGCAUUCAUUAUUAUUAUCACCUUCAACUUCAAAGUCAGUUUCUGGUCCCACGUGUCUAAUCACCUCUAAAUAUAUUUCAAUUAGUCUACUAGAAGGGAUAAGUAUAGACAUUGUUAAAACAACAUCAUCAUUUUCUAACCCUUAUAAUCCCUUCUCUAUAUCAGUUGUAGGUGACUUAUAAUGGAACUUUAGGUGUCUAACUUGAUAUCCCAACUCCUUCCCCAUGUUAACAAUGUCAAGUAAAGAGAUGUAAUCAGGAUGACAGAAAUCAAAAAAAUUAAAAGUACUUUCCACAUACUGUUUAUGUGGGCUCUCUUCAAAGUGUCCACCCUGAAAAAAAUUGACUGUAAAAUAUUCCUUAUUGCUUGCAUAGCCACAAACACAAAGUAAACAUUGUCGGUUAAAUGUGUGGACCACAUCAUAUUUAAUUUCAUAAAAUCCAAAAAUUGUAAAGUAAUAACUACAGAAUCUUAUAUAUUGAUCAUCAAAAGGGUCCACUACCCAGCUUUAUACUAUUCAAUGAUGGAUACCAUUUCACUUUACAACAAAAAGAAGUCAAUAAACUACAAAAAGAACACAAUAAAAUACAAAAAGAACACAAUAAACUACAAAAAUUACACACUAAACUACACCAGCCCAUUAUUCAAGAUAUUUUUUGAAGCACUUGCGGUAUUCUAGGACACCUUCACUCCAUAAACGUCAUUGUCUUCCGAAUCCCACAAGAAUAUGUUGUUCUCACUCAUUGUCCCACUUCUCCUUCAGAUCGUGAACCCUACCCAAGACUGAUUUGGGAAUUUUUGUCUGAUAACUAACACGAGUAAAUAAUCGUUGCAUAAUAAAGACUAAAAGUGGCAUAAAUGUAAACUACCCAAAGUACCCCUCUGUAAUAAACAUUACAGCCUUAACCGGUCACUUUUGACUGGUUAACUGAAGAAAGUUUGCUUUUUGUUACGUUAAUUGAAGUUUGGGAUGUACUUAAACACCUUUUUCAGUUUGGGGUGCAAACAUCAACAUGUGUGUAAAGUUUGGGGUGCAAAAUGUCUUUUAGUCAAUAUUUUAAUAUUUUUUAAUAUCGUACACAUUUCAUCUAAAAUAUAAGAUCUUUGUUUACUUUUUAACAAUUAAACAAGCUGCAAGAUAUAUUAGAAGUAUACAAAUGUCUACCAAAUUCUUGGUGAAAAGUCUAUAAAAGUCUGUCAAUUAUUUCAUGAAGUCUUUAAAAUCCACAAACUCUACAAAAGUAUGUUACUUAAAAAAAGUCUUUAUUGAAUACACCUUCUUACAAUGAUCCACACAUCAAACAAUAAUUUUAUAUUAACUAGAAAAUCCUAACUGCUAUUACAUGAGCUCAAACACAUGAGACCCAAUACAUUAGUAAAACCCAAGAACGGACUACUAAUAAAUUCUCAAGCCCAAUUGCACUUUGUGCUUGGCUUUCAGUGGGCGCUGACCCCUUGCAACCCCGCCAGCUCACCGACGAGCUGGGCAGCCACUCGCUCACCGGGGAGCGAGACCCCCGACUAUCCUAUCGUAAUGGUCAUUUGUCGAACCCGCAGAAAUAUGAGUCAAUCCCAACAAAAUUAAAAAAGGGAUCCACACAUUAUCAUUUAUUCUUAUCACUUUAAAUUUGUCCGCAUAUAUAUCAUUAAUGACUAAAAGACAAUUUGCACCCCAAACUUUACACGCUUGUUGAUUUUUGCACCCUAAACCGAAAAAGGUGUCUAAGUACACCCCAAACUUCAAUUAAACGUAACAAAAAACAUAUUUUUGUCAGUUAACCGGUCAAAAGCGACCAGCUAAGGCUAUGAUGUAUAUCUGGAAGGGUAUUUGAGUAAUUUCCUUUUUAUCUUCUCCAACAUUAAGCACUAUCUCCUCAAUAUUAUAUAAAAUCAUUGCUUCAGCACCAAGUGCUCAACAUCACCAAGUUCCACUUCACCUUGUCGCCAAUCAUGUCCAUCUUGAAAUAACAAUUCAAUCUACUCCAGAGAUUUCCCUUUUGUUUCAGGAACAAGUGUGUGAACAAAAACAACAAAAUGUGAUACGAAGCUCGCCCUUCAAUUGAUACCCAGAUAUGACUACACACAAAUUCAACUUAACUAACAAAACUUAAUACGAAGCACACCCUUCAAUUGAUCUCAUCCAUUACACAAAAUGAAAAAGAAAAAAUAGAAAAUUGAUCUCAUCCAAAGAUUUCCCUUUUGUUUCAGGAACAAGUGUGUGAACAAAAACAACAAAAAGGGCUGAUAUUGCUAAAAAGAUGAAGAAAGUUCCAGCCACUAUAAUUGCACGGGAGACAAAGAGGAAAGACAUGACAAUUAAGCUGCUGCAAACUCUAUUACCUACUGUUUCGAGUGUUGCUGCUUGAGCACACAGUCUUAAAGGGAAGAUUUCAGAUGUCAAAACCCAGCAAACAUGACCAAUUCCAACAGAAAAGAAAGCUACAUUCCCACAAACUGCCAUAAACAAUUUUCCCCCACAAAGAAUCAUUAAAAGGGGUAACUUUGUAACCACCCACGUGACCCUAUACACAGUUUCAAGAGCAUUCUUUAUCAACCCAUUAACUUGCUCAUUUUUCUCAGAAUUCACAAGCAGACCCACAUCAGCAAUCAAAUCCUUUGGAGCAGAAAUCACUUCAAUUGCACUAACUCUAGAGUUUUGCAUAAUCUCAGCAGUAAAGUCAUACAAUAACACAAACCCAUUAACCAAAACAUGAAACCCAACACUAUAAUUAUCAAAAUUCGACAAAUUGAACCGGUGAAAAUGAAGACGAAUCAAAUGGGUACCUUUGUCUUUAAUGUCGAACACAUAUUUUGCAGGUCUUGUGAAAACCCGAACUGUGUGAUAAACUAGGGCCAAAUUAGGAUCUGGGUUUAAAUCUCUGCGUGAAAUCGUUCGAUUUGAUGAGAGAAAGUGUGAUUGACUCCGAUGAGUCUCCGGUGAACCGACGAUGAUUAGAGUCAGCUGUGGUGGGUUCAACGGAGCCACAGUCUAUGAGGUAGUGAUCAACGGGAGAGAAAUAGUUACAAAUAGUUACAGAGUAAGCAACCAAUUAUUGAGUUUCGAGUGGGGGAAACUCCCAAAUUUCUAGGCUAUGAAUAUUUUUCCACUCAGAAGUGGGGUUCAAGGCUAGGUUCUGGAUCUUUAACACCAAAUGACUUGGGUUCAAGGUUAGAUUCUGGCUCCUUGACGCCAAAUGGUGAUGUCUCAAGGUUAGGUACGUUAUGGUUCUUUGAUGCCAAACGGUUGGGGUUCAAGUCUAAGAUCCGGUUUGAUUUUUUUUUUUGUGGUGGGUUAUGGUGGUGGAAUUGUGGGAAGAGGUGGUGUUGCAGUGUUGACGAAAGGUUGUGAUGUUUGUGGUGGUUGUUGUGUUUCAUUCAUAUGCCUUAGCCGAAACAGGGGAAAUUGGUUUGAUGAAGAAGAUGUGGAAAAGACUAAAAUAUCUCUUUAGAUGUACACGUGUGCCUUAGUCGGUAACUUUUGACCGGUUAAGUCAGUAAAGUGUGUCUUUUGUUCAGCAUGAAUGAAGUUUGGGAUGUACUUAAACACUUUUUCAGUUUGAAAUGCAAAAGUCAACAAACGUGUAAAAUUUGAAGUGCAAUUUGUCUUUUAGUCAUCAUUCAUUUUCCUUUGAUUCCCUCUAGGUGAUUUAGAACUUUUAGACUGGUUUAAAAGCGUGUGUUGCAAGUUAGGUAAUUGACUGUUAAAUGGCAAGAAAAGUAAAACACUGCAUAUUCUGCUCUUUUCAAUUACUAUAUAUGAUAUACUGAUUACUGACAGUUAUGUGACUUAAUUAAGGAGUGCUUAAACAAAUAAAGAGGAUCUAUUAGCUGAUUAGCUGAGGAUAGCUAGGGACAAAUAGUAGAUGAAGUUAGGCAGAUGGUGGUGGCCUCUGAAUUGAAACCAAAUCUCUGUCAAAAUUAAUUGCGUCCUUCUAUGGGGACAGAUUAUUGGACCGAAUUAUUGGACAUUUUUAAUUUUUUUUUAAUUUUUUUGGUGAAUUUUUUAAAAAAUAUAUAGUAUUUAUUUCAACUAGAAUUUUUACAGAAUACAGUGUUUUAAGUGUAAUUUGAAUGUAUAUACAAGAACAUGGUUGUACAGACUGUACAACUCUGUUUUGUAUAUGUAUCCAAAUUACACCUAAAAACACUGUAUUCUAUAAAAAAAUCAGUUAGAAUAAAUACUAUACAUUUUUUUAGAGUCACAAGAAAAAUAAAUAAAUAAAUAAAUUUGAGACCGGUCCAUUGGACCUGUCCGCCAAGACUUAUUCAAAUUAAUUAAGAAAAAUGGUAAGGUUAGGUGUUGAUCCAAAUUAAUUAAGAAAAGUGGAACCAGUCUUAAGUAAUUGACUGUUUCAUUUACAUUGAAAAAUGGCAAUAAUAAUUUAUAGUCAAGGUUAGGUGUUGAUCCAAAUUAAAGAAAAAUGGAACCAGUUUAAGUAAUUGAUAGUUUCAUCAUUUACAUUGAAAAAAGGCAAGAAUAAGUUAUAGUCAAGGUUAGGUGUUGAUCCAAAUUAAAGAAAAGGGUCAACUCUGUAUGCUAUGUGACAUGUAAUAAUCUCGUGCGUACGAUUUUCUACUAUCUACUCCACCAAUAUAAAAUAAAAUAAUAUCCUCAAAUUUUUUCUUUUUGCUAAAUUUGUUUGUGCAUUCAAGUGAAUUAUAAAUAAAAUGGCUUAGGGUAUAUAUACUGUGACACCCCAAAUCCGAGUAUUCUUACCCUCAGAUAUUUAGUGUUCACGAUCAUCUACAUUCGAUAACCUGUAUUAUUACAAAAAUUCUUACAAAAUAUAAUAUAUACAUCAAUGUUGUCUAACCUUUAACAUUACAUAACAUGAUACCCAAAAAUAUUACAUCACAUCCAAAAAUAUCUAUUUACAUAGCUAUUUAAUAUAUAUUACAAAGGUUAUAGCUAACAAUACGAUUACUCCUGCAAUUUUCCUUUUCCCUUGUCGGAUGACGACCCUCCAGCCUUUUCAUUUUUAACUGAAAUUCAUUUAGCAAGAAUAAGCAAUAAAAUUGCCCAGCAAGUAAUACUUAUUUAAGUGAAAUAGUUAAUAAGAAAACAAAUAAUAGCUUAAUAACUGAAAAGAGUAUUGUUUGAAUAAAAUCAAGCUGUGACUACGGAGUUAUGUAAAUUCUUUAGAAUAAAGGAAUUUUAAAUGCAAAGAUUAGCAAUAAAAGAUUUAAUUAAGUAAUUGAGGGUCACAAGACCACUGAACUAUGUCCAAGGGUUCAGGUAUCUCUACCUUAACCUUUAUCCGUCAAAGACUGUGGACAACCAUCUUCGUAUGCAGGGGAUCAACCCUUUGUACCUAUGUAUUGUGCACAAACAUAUUAACGCAAUAGCGUAAUUCGGAACCAUAGUCUUCGAUAACAUGUUCCCUAUUUAAAGGGUUGUUCAACUCAGUCUAUCACAUGAGUUCUUAUUAGAAGAAUUCUGAUGAAUAUAACUUCUUGGCGAAUCUUAGAACAUUUAUCAAUUAUGGUCUAGCCGAACUCAAAUGACAUAGACUUACAAUACAAAUUCAUAUAUCAAAGAAAGCUUCAAUAACAUUUGAAUAAUAAUUUCAUAGGAAAGUUACUAAUUGAAGAUGCCAAAUAUUCAUUUCAAGCUUAACAAGAACCUUUGUUCAAGAUUUAUAACUUAGAAAGGAAAGUUAGUAUACUUACCUUCGCGUCGAAAUGUUAUCGAUUCAACUCGUGGUUGUGUGCUCGAGACGGUAUUAUCUAGUACCACACCUAUGUAAUACACAAAAGAUUACUAUAUGGCUUAACACUAAUAUAUUUCAUAAACGUACGUUAAUCUGAACUCAAAUUUUCAAACUUAACAUUCUAACCUUAACUCCCCCCCAUGUGAAUGAACUUGUCAUAUAUAUACAUAACACAAGUUUUUUAUUAUUUUUCAACCAUUUAAUAGCUUAACAUACCUAUUUUCCUGUAAUUAUAUUCAACUCAACUUAUUUAGUUCAUACUAUUUGUUUUAUUAACUUUAGGAUGUAGCUAGAACCAUUCAUAGUUACUACAUCUAAACAUAUUAUGCUUUUAGCUUUACAAUGUAAUUUAAACCAUUCAUAGCUCAAUAUAUAUAAUUAUAUCAAGCCUUUAGCUUAAACUUGCUUUUAAAUGAUUUAUUUCUAAUUUUAUUCAAUUAUUGAAUUUAUUUAUGAUUUUAUAUACUAAUUAUAGACAAUGUAUUAAUUCUUAUGUAAUUUGUUGUCUCAUUAACACCUCACAUGAGUUAGCAUCAAAAGCAUUAAAACAGCCUAGCCGCCCAACCAUUUGCCCAGCUAAACUGCUGCAGCGCAGCGCUCGCGCCCCUGCUGCUGCUGCCUGCUGUAGUGGCAGCCCUCGACUAACAUAGCCACUUUGCACAUUUUUAACUUUUAAAUCAUAAAUUUGAUUGCAACCAAAUUUGAGUAUGUAAUAGAAAGCAUAACAUAGUAUUUUUUAAAAAUAUAUAAACCAUCCAAAUUGGACAUUCCAGACUAGUUUAAUAAAGGCCCGAAACUGCUCUGUUAAAGCAGUUUCUUAACUGAGCUUGAACUAGUUAUUUUUCCCAAAACAGGUUUCUACCCUUUUAAACUUACAAAUACCACUCCAUUUACUUAACAUAGUAUGCUUACAGAGUUCUUGACUUCAAACUUUAUUUAAUAUCAGUAUUUAAGCUAAGCAGCCCCUAUUAGGACUUUUAACAAACAUCAUAUGUGCAACCAGUUUUGGAACUGAUUUCAUAGGAGUUUAUACUUAUUCAAACCCAAAUUUUUCCUCCCUUAUUACUCCGCACAACAACUAGUCUCAUUUUUGCUAACUCAAAGAUAUUGCAGCCACAAAUCAUAUUGUAUCACAUAUAACUAACUAAUUGUUAUAAACUUUUUAUAAAACUUAUACUUACCUUACCACUUCUUGAAUUCAAUUAUGCUUUGAGCUGGAAAUGGACAGCUCUAAUAUCUCCUUGAUGUCUUCAAGUCCUUCCCAAUUCAAAAUUAUAACUUCACCAUCUUUGUACACUUGAAAGUGCAGCCAAAACUAAGGAAUUUGGAAAAGAUUUAAGAAUAGUAGAACUCGGAAUUGAAAGAGAAAGGGAGCAGGUAUGGAAAGUGCGAAUUUUGCUAAGGAAACUGAUUAGGAUCUUGAUUCAGUUAAUAAUAAACAUGGCUUGCUUAGUGGCUGUCUUAAUAUCUCAGCUUUUGCCAGCUCCAACUUACAUUGCUUAGUGGUUGGUUUAAAUAUUUCUUAAACUGCCACCUCCUUCUUACCAAGUGAUUCAUCAGUUUCCACUCUUGGCUUUCUCUUAAUACCAUUAAAUUACAAUUUAAACCCAACUUGAUUUUUAAUCCGUACACAGGUCCGGUCUAAAUUUGUUGGGACUCUCAAGCUAAAUCGAGGUCUUUUUUUAAUAAUUUUAUAUUAAAUUAAAUUAAUAUCUAUGAUUUUUUUAAUUAGAAUUUCAUUUUUCUUACUCUUUUAGAUGUAAAAUUAUUGAUCAAACUUUUAUAAUAAAUUUUCUCUAACAUAUUUGUGACAAUCCAAAUUUUUAGAAAUAAAAUUUAAUAAAUAAAUUUCUUAUUAUAAGACAUGACGAGUUUGAGUGUAUAAAUAUAUAUGAGUUAUAUAUAUUUAUGUGGUUUAUGUGUAUAAGUGUUGUUUCAUAGAAGCGAAUAAAAUGAUUGCGGGAAAUAACGCUAAAAUACUAUUUAUUGGGGGAUUAUUCAUGCCAAAAAUGUUAUUUAUUGAAUAAAAUGAAUAUUUUAAUGGAAAUUAUUAUGGAAAUAUUUUUUUAGGUGUAAAUAUGAUUACCAAAUAUAUAUGGGUUACAUGUACAUUUAAAUGCAUGAAUAUGGGAAGUUAAGGGGUUACAAAAUAACUAAUCCAAUCAAAGGAACCCAUUAAUUAAUGAAAUUGGUGGAUUGAUAAAUGGCUAAAUGGAAUUGUUAAUUUAAUUGACGAAUGGUUAAAUCGAAAUCCUAAUUAAAAUGAUAAGUUUGAAUGUAAGUAAUAAAAUAUUCUGAGUAUGUGGGAAUUAAAUGUCCAAUUUAAUUUCAGAAUAAACUCAAAUGUAAAUCCAAUUUGUAAUAAAAAAAAAAAAAAAAAAUUGGUUUCAUGGGAUAUAAUUAUCGGUAUUUGGGGUGUAAUUAUUGGAUAUAAUUGAAAUUGUGUAAUGGGUUAAAUAGUUUCUUUGGAAAGUAUAUAUGCCUCGACGACCAAUUAGAAUUUAACUUGCAAUUUUUGAGUCAAUAAGGAAAGACAGGAAGAGACUACAGGUAAGCUAAGCUCUUGAGCAAAGUAACGUAUUGGAGCUCUCAAUUUCUCAGACCUUUCCUCUCCCAUAACGCUCAGGAAUUUAUACUGAUAUAUCUCAUUUGGCUAUUCUUCAUACAUCUCAAUUGCAAGUGUAAGAAAUAGAGAGAGUUUGCAAUGAAAAGUUGGAAGAAAGCUUUGGAAAUUCUGAUAAUUCAUAAAAGAACUGAUGAUUUAAGAAGAAUUAAAUCAAGGAUUAAGCAAGAAUCAAAGCUCAAGAGGUAUUCAUCUAUUCUGUUAUCUUUAAGUCCAUAAAUAAAAGUAGUAUAACUUCUGUAAUUUAAUUGUGAAAUAUUGGUUGGGUUGUUUGGUGGUUAUAUGAUCAUCAACUAUAGUGAAUGAUUUCCAUGAGAAAUUUGGGUUGACCUUAAAGUAAAGGCUAUGAAAUCUGGGUAUGCAAAGAAUGCCCAUUAUAUAUUUGAUAGAAUACUUCAAUAGAGGUUCUUUGUUAAAUUGUAAGAAUUGGUCAUUGUAAUAAGAAAGUAUGAUGUAUAUAUAAGUUUUGUAAUAACUCUAUAUGUAUGAAAAUUUUAAAACUAUGUAAUUGGGCAGAAGAUGCAAGAAAUGGCAUGAAGAAUCAAACUUUAUUGGAGCAGAGCCUGUUCUGGGCUUCAGGUGAAGUAGCGCGGCCGCGCCACUUCCCAGGCCAAUAUCAGCGCGGCCGCGCUGGUCAUCUGAGUUGCCAAAAUGAUUCUUUUGCAUUCCGAGUUUAUGGUCACGUGUGAUAGAUUUCUUUAUGCUUAUGUAUUGUACAUGAUAGCCAUGAAAUAAUCGACUUGGUUUAGAAUGGAUUUGAAUAAGUUUUCAAGUAAAACUUAAGGAAAUUUUGAAAAGAAAACCAUGGUCUAAAUUGGUUAGGGUUAUUUGAAAUAUUGGUAUACAUAUAAUCUAUAUAAUAAAAUACAAAUGAUUUUGAAUUUUCCGCUCACUAAAUAAAUCAUCUGGGCCGUUCAAAGUUUGAGAUAAAUCUCACCGUCCAUACAGUGCCAGAGGCACGGGAUCCGGCUAGUGUACUUAUAUGUAUCUUAGAUAAUGUUCAGAUUAGUCGAGAAGUAUUAAGUUUGUCAAGUCUAGUUAAAAAAAUGGAUGGCUAAUGAAAAUUAUGUGAUUUGGAAAACUGAACUUGAUACAAGGUUCAACGCUAGCAGAAACUUUAUAUUCAUGUGUUAUACGAUGCAAAGGUAGGUUUUAGUAGGUUAUAGGUUGAGCAGGGUAAUAAAAAUCUCAAUUCUGGGCCUGAAAGGAAGUAGUGCGGCCGCGCCACUCCCGGACUUAAUUGCAGCGCAGCCGCGCCGCACUGCAAAGCAAUCAAGAUGUUUAAUUUAUGAUUUGAACUUUGGGGGCAUGUACGUACAUGCCUUCUAAAAUAUAAUAAAUGAGUCUUAUGAUAAUUAGCCUAUUCACAUAUGAAGUGGCUUAACAUUAUUAAGAAAUUUGCAAGAUAAGGAAAAUGGAAUCAAGGAAAUUACAAUAAGUAUGUAUGAAUUUAAAGGCAUGUAAUGCACAAGUUAUUGAGCGAUUAGCCUAUUCAAGCAUGAAGCGGUCAAGAUUAAUAAACAUUGGUUAAAAAGCUAUGAGGAAAUUUAACGUUAUAAAAGACAAGAUAGAAGUAAAGUAAACUAUAUUUACAUUGAAUGUAUGAUUGAUAUGUAUAUAUGUGUGAUUAUAUGACUAUGUAGGAUUCAUGAAGAGCAGGUAGAAGUGGUUGUAAUCAACUCGCAAGGCAAGUCUUUCAGUUUCUAUGAGCUAUAUGAACUUGAUAUUGCUUAUUUGUAAACUAUUCUAGAAUGAGUAUGUUGAAUUAUGUAUGAUGCUCUAUAAUCGCGAAAGUCAACUUAUGGCUAAGUUGAUCGAGUUAUGGAACUCAAUCUUUAUAUGAUAUGUGUGUAACGCAAUAAGUAUGAUAUGUAUAGUCAAAUGAUUAUAAUGAAUUAACUGAGCAUGCAAUUAUAUGUUAUGUGAUGCAUGAAAACUGCUAGAUUUACUGAGCUGUCGAGCUCAAUCUUGCAAAAAUAAAUUUUUUGCAGGUUAAGGAGACAAUGUUGUAUUACGUGCUAUUUGGAUGAUAAGGAUCAGAAGACAUGCAAUGAAAUAAAUUUUCUUUAGCUAGAAAUAUUAUUUUGAACCAUGCUAAGGGUUUCCAAUGUAUGUAGUUGAUAAUUUAUGAUGUGUAUGUAAUGCCAAGUUGUGAGUAUUGAAUUAUCCAAUAUAUAUAAAGGAUAUUGUAUUGAGAAGUGUGUUCUUAUACAAUAACUCUGAUAAAAUGAAUCAUAUAAUCAAUAUGAUUAUAAAAUAUGUAAUCGUAAAGGUUGCGAUUCAGUAAAUAAAUGAAAGAAGAU